CAUCGAUUUCAUACCUUCAUUAAAACAGCAUCUGCAGGAGGAAUGGCUUCAAACAUGUUACCUCCAACAUAGGCCAAGUUCUUACUACUCUCCAAGCCAUCAACAACAUGAGGAAGAUCAAGCACAGUGCAUUUCAGGCGAGGGAAAGCAUCAGCAAUUGCCUUAGCAAAGGUUCCAGUUCCACCUCCAACAUCCACCAAUGAAUUCAAACUCUCAAAAACAUGCUUACAAUCUUUGGUCACCACACUACUAACCAUCCGGGUAUCACUAGCCAUUGCUUCGUUAAAGAAUUGAUUAAGCCACGGCGCAUGACUUGCAAAAGCAUAAAUUGACCUCCCAUGGCAAGUAUAAAAUGGGGUUUCGUCACUAUUCUGAAACCACUGGCUGAGAUGGUGCCAUGGAUCAGUCAAGGUGGGAUCGAGCAUGGCUAGUAAAAACGGCGUCAUGCUAAAAGGGUUACUCUUUAAAAGGAGUUCAGAAGCAGAAGUGAGCAGAUAACCCUUUUGAUUAUCAUUCUCAUUUCCAGGAAUCUUUGCUUCAAUGAAGAAGCCUGAGUGGAUCAAAAUCUGCAUGAGACGAUAAACGAAAGGGGCUUUUGCAUUCUUGAUGGGAAGAGCAUCGAUCAAUUGAUCAAGAGUCAUCGGCUGGCCAUGUUUGUGAAUAGCGUCUGGAAUGCCUAAUUGAAUUGCACAUUUGACGGACAUAGAAUUUAUGAAGUUGAAUAUAUGGUUCCAUAUGUGAGCUUGUGCUUGAAAAAGCUCACCAGUAUGAUCACCAAUAUUUCUAGCCGAAUCCAUUUUUUUGUUUGAAAUUCUAGGAUUUUUUUUUUCGCUUUUUGGUUGGGAAUUACAAGUAGAACUCGCAUUUUAUAGGCCGGGUAUGGGAUUCACAGGAAUAACGUUGCAAUAGUUUCUUCUAAUAGUCUGACAAGAACCUGUUAGCAAAAAAAACAAUGAAAUCAACUCAGAAACAAGGAUCCAAAGGCAGCUAACAUCAGUUUCCUUUUCUUGACCAAUUCAUAUAUGAGUAUAUGGGUUAGUCUAGUCUCCUUCUUGGUGUAACUACACAUAAUUCAGUGUUUCUGGAGACGUGCUUAAAUUAAAGUGUAUAAUCAGCACUUAUUAAUUAAUUGUUCUUUGUGUCGACUCGUAUUAUCACUUGAGAAAAUCGCAUAAUGCACGCUGCUGGUGGUGCUUCUUGUUUGGAAGACGAAGAAAAAGAAAUUUAAAUUGUCACAACUUUUGAGCCGUGGUUGAGUAAAAUUUUACGUUGGUGCAUCAUUCUUGAGCAAAUUCUCUUUUCACAACGAUCUGGUGUAUUGCAAUGCUUAAGAAACAUUAUUCUUGUCCUAAAUAUAGUGAUCGAUUUCUUAAUUGGAACGUUAAGCCUUGUUUUCUUCCUACUAUGAGAGAUUUACAACUCUAAUGGAUUCGAAAAUUAGUACUAGCCAUUAUUGUUAAUCAAUAUCAAAUACUAGAAUUUGAUGAAAUGUGGAACCAAUGUUAUUUUGGGCUAUUCUUUUAUUCAUAAUGUAUAUAUGCCUAAUUUGCAGCUCUUAGAUUUAGAGUCUUCGACCAAUAAAAUAUGGGGUAAUUGAACAUGGCAUGAUGCUAAAGUAAAUGAAGUGGUCUUUAAUUUAGGGUCUUAUCUAAAAAGUGUCCAUUAGGCAUUCAUUGCUAAGAUGAAGUUCACAUGUAAAUAUCUUAGAAAUGUAAAGUUAAAUAAAGAAAAUUUAUAGAAUGUAAAGCAAUGAUCAAUUUAGCAAGGCUGAUUGGCUGGCCAUACCAAUUUCUGCUUAUGAAGUUAAACUGCACAUGUGAGCAAUAGAGAGUUUAUGAAGUUGAAUAUUUGUUGGCUUGAGCUUUGAUUAGUUUAGCAGUUUUUUUUUUUUUACUCUUAAAUGAUUUCAAUUGCAAGCCAAAUAGAAAUUGGACAAACAAUGUCCUAUCAAAAUGAGCAUAUUGAGAAAAACAUAUAUGUAAAAAAAUGAAUUAAAAAAUACAAUGAGAUCAAUUAAAAAACACAUUAAAUUUGACAAAGUUCAAUUAACCUGUGUCACAGCAUCUCCAGAAACUGACUGUUUACUAUUAAUUCAACAUAAACAAAACUUAAUGCAAUGACGAAGUAAUAACCAGUUCCUCUCAAUUAGUCAUAAUUCAUCAAAUUAUGCGAGUAAAUCAACAUGGGUUAUCUGCAGAAAUGAAAAACAGAUAAAAAUCAUACUGUAAAACUCCAAAUAAAUAUUUUUUUAAAAAUUGUAAAGCUCCACUUGUUACUUAGCUUAAACUAGCACUUCAUGAUAUUAUCCCAUUCUUUGCGUUUGCAGAAAUGUUAGAGAUGGUGUUGCACAUCUCAUUAUGCAUUAGGUUAGAAAGGUCAUGAUAGACUUGUCCUUGCACCUUAAAGAUUGGAAUUAGCUAGCCAGUUUCAUGAAUAACCAUACAUACGUGCACGAAAAAAUCUGGUCAAAGCAAAACUGAUUGAAACCAUACAUAGGUUUGGCCAUCCAUGCAGUACAUAGGGUAGGAUUUCUAAUUGCCAAAAGUAUGCAAGUCAUGAAUAGUAAUAGAACAUCAAUCAGCAGCCAUUAUGAUUUUAAAAAAUAUAUAUAUUUUGGUGGGUUUUCUAGCCGUAGCUCAAAGAAACUAUAAUUUGAAAACGGUAAGAAAAUCAUUUCAAAUUGUAAACAUCCCAUGACUCUACUAACUUGACCAAGACUUAUUGAAAACAAGCAUGUGUUCAAUUUCACCAAUAUUUCAUUUGAAAAUAGUACAUAAAAACAACUCAAUUAAAUACAAAUUGAAUGAGAUCUUAAAGUCUAUUAAAAACUGAUAGGUUAUUAACCAUUUGAGAUAUAGACCCUAAUCCAAGGAUGUUAAGCAACCUAAAUGUGUUGUUUUAUGGUGUGUGAACUGAUAGCUGCAUCCAAAAUGGCUACAGUCUUCCAUUUCGCCUACCUGAUCUGCUGAUUACCACCUAAUUUCUUACAUCUUUUUAAUUUUCGAGUAAUUUUGCCACUGCUUAAGUUGUAUUAGUAAGAUUUGAAUACGACAUGAUUUUUUUUCAUAUGUUCAUCAGAACAUUUUAGAUAUAAUUAAACUAUGUUAUGCAAUUAACUUGGAAUGAAGUUACAAAUUUCUUGUUAUCAAUUUUAUAUGCCAGAUGUUGAGGAUUUAACUAUUAUUAGCUUCUUUGCUCCUUAGUGGUAUUCUAACUGAAUUUUAGCUUUAUAAUUUUUGAGCAAGUACUAAUAUAAAAUUCAGUUUAAUAACAAUGAAUGCAUAAAUGCAGUGAGACAAUAGAGCAAUCCAUAUCAUAUGGCCAUUUGUAGGCAGAUAGAUCAUUGAUAGUACUAAUCUACUGGCUAAUUGCAUGAGCAUUAUAACUAACACUCUAAGGUGGAAAAUGAACCUAUAAAUUUUUUUUACCGUGUAUAUUGCUGCUGCACAAAACAAGAAUAAUAUUAACAAAACAGCCUCCAUUGAUCUCACAUAGAUAAGCAGACAUAGACUAAUAUCUCCAAAAUACCUAUCUUGUACAGACAUCCGUCACUAAGAGAAUCAUCAGACUUCACUCUUAUUAUGUUUUUGUCUAAAUUUAACAUCCCAAAUUUAUUUUCAUUAAAAAUUUCCUCUCUUAUAUGGUUAAAUGGGACAUAAAAUCGUCACAAAAAAAAAAGAAAUAAUUCUUUUCUAUCUUAAAAUGGGACCUAAAAUUGUUAUAACAAAAAAAAUUAAUUCUUUUGAAUUUAUCUAUUAAAAUUUGAGGUAUCCAAAUGAAUAACACCAAAGAUUGACAAUAUGUAUAAUCGUCAUUAGAAAAUUAAAAAAUAUAUAUCCAAUUCAAAUAGAAAAUUUUGAACUUUACUGAAUCAUCAUCAUCAUCAAGUAACAUAACACAAUAUACCAAAAAAAAAAAAGGGAGAAAAAUCCAAAACAGAAUAUGAAAAAAAAAGAAAAAACAACAAAUCAAUAAAAAAUUAAAAAUAAAUGGAAAUUAAAGUAAAAAAUGUAAAUAUGGACAAUGAGCUCAUGCAAAGGUGAUCGGACGUUAGCAAUUGUGAAGACGUCUGAAAAGUACACCUCGGAUGGUACAUCCGGACUAUACCUUAAAAAAGAUAAAAAGAAAACAUAUUAUGUAUAAAAAGUCUACAAUUCCAACUAUCAAUUACCUGAUUUCUAGUUUCACCUAAAGAUUUCAUGGAAUCACUGUCCAAUAAGGUUUGUAAUUUUGCAUGUAUGCAUCAUUAAUUCCAAUAGUCGAAAUAACCAGGGCAUCUGGUAUACAUUAAAGUUUAUGUUCACUAUGUGUAUCUAAAGUUAAUGCCUUGGGUUUGGUUAAACUUUCUUUGAUUGUUAGUGUUUAUUAUUUGGCUAUUUGAUGCGAUUAUUUUGAGCAAGUUAUUUGGCACUUUAGCUCUUUAAAUCAUGAUUAACUUGGUACCAUUAAUUGUGAUUGCUAAAUGUGUUGUUUCUUCAAUGAAAAUUGAGAUUUAACACUAGUUCAAAAAGUGCUAAACCUAUGGUGUACACUCACGAGAGUAGAAGUGUGUCUAUGUGGCUUUAGUGAUUCAUUUCAUGUAAUUUCAUAGAAGAAAUGAACUUGUAGCUAAUUUAAUAACCACGAGAGUAGGUAUAGAUUAGUUAUAAGUAUAGUUGAUUCAUUACGAGAAUAGGUUUCACAUGCAUAAGAAAAUUACGCCAUAACUAGCUAAGAUAGUAGUAAUCAAUGAUCCAAAAAUAGCAUUUGCAUGAAUGGUUAGGAAUACCAUAAUCUAAGGAGCUUUCAUUUGUUUUUAUCUUGCAUAAGUUUAACAUAGUUUUAUCUCUUUUAAUUCAUUGAUCGUCUAAAUAAUAGAGAAGUUUUAGCAGUGCCGGUAUUUGUCCAAUCUUUCUCAUGGGAUUGACCCGAUAUUUGUCAUAAACUACUAAUUUGACCUAUAUACUUGCAGUCAAAAAGGGUAUAUUUCGGAAUUAAACUUGUACUUAUAUCAAAAGCCCAUCAGUAGCUCAAAGAAACUAUAUUUUGAAAACGAUACGAUGAAAAUCACUUCAAAUUAUAAACAUCACUUGACUCUAUUAAUUUGAUCAGAACUCACCAAAAAUGAGUGUGUGUGUCCAAUUUGACCUGUAUUUCAUUUAAAAAUAUACAUAAAAACAAGUUAGUUGAACACAAACCGAAUGAGAUCUGGAAGUCUAAUACAAAUUGGUAAGUUGCUAACCAUUUGAGGUAUAGACCCUAAUCCAAGGAUUUAAUCAGCCAAAAUAUCUUAUUCUAGGUUCUGUGAACUGGUAGUUGCAUUUAAAUUGGCUACAAUCUCCCAUCUCACCUACCUAAUCUACUGAUUACCAUCUAAUCCCUUACUCUUUUUUUUUAAAUUUUCAAUUAAUUUUGCUAAUGCUUAAGUGGUAUUAAUAAGAUAUGAAAGCGACAUGGAUUUUUUCAUAUGUUUGUCAAAACUUUUUAGAUAUAACUAAACUAUGUUAUGUAGUUAACAUGGAACGACCUUACUAUUUCAUAUUAUCAAUUUUACCUACCAGAUGUUGUGGUCUUAACUAUUAUUAGUUUCUUUGCACCUUAGUGGUUUUCUAACCAAAUUUUAUGUUUAGAAUUUUUGAGCACGUACUAACGUAAAAUUCAGCUCCACAACAACAAAUGCAUUAAUGCUAUGAGAUAAUAGAGAAAUCCAUAUCAAAAUGCUCAAUUGAAAAAAAAAAAGUGAAAGAAAAAAGGAACGAAUAUGUCAGAUGUGCUGUAAUUUCAUUAUUGGGUUGUGUAAAAACAUUUUCAUUUUGACAAUUGAACAUACAUAUAGACUUUGUAAUACCUUACUCUUGAAAUUCUUGUCUCUUCGUUUGAAGGUGAAAAGAAAUUACGGCAUAGUUAUUUCCAUAAGUCGUAGAAAACAAUCAAUAAAGGAAAAAGAAUAAGGUUUUGAUGGGGAAAAUUCAGAAAUUGGAACGGAACAAUGGGCUAUAUUUUUGUUAAGAACUGAAAAUCUUUUUCUUCAUUAUCCGUUCCUUCUUCAACUUACAUUCAGCUGUAAUGGCUGAAUUUAAAGUGGAAGCGAUGCAUCUACUUCAACAAUGUUGGAAACAGUUAUUGUCCUUAGCUACCUCAACUCCACACCAUUUAUACAUAAUGUGCUUGCUGUGCAUUCCAGGCUGGGAUUUGGACGCAUUCCAAUGUUGGAUUGUGGUGGGGUUUAAUACCAAAUCAAUGAAUUAAAUCCUUUAUAUAAAGGAGCUAAACAAACAAUUUUAUUACACUCAAAAUAUAUAUAAUAACAACAGACAAAAUACAUUUAUAUUAGACACUAAUAAUUGAGCCUCACUGUUGAGAUAUCUGCUCAAACACUCACUCCACAAUUGAACUCGUUCAUUUCCUAUCUUUCACUUGAGCUUUGGUGCCCUUCAACUGAGGAAAUGGCAUUUAUUUAUACUAGUAAGGAUCCUACAAGCGGCUGUAAUUUUCUCUUCUCAUUCAAUGCCCAAUUGCCAGAAAAUCUGGUGAACUUUGCAAGUAAAUCUGGUUCAAGAUACAAGCACGAACCAAAUUGAUCAGCCGCCCACGUUCAGCUUCAAGAUGGACUUUGGCAAUUUGUCUAUUGCCAAUAAAUGAGUAAAACAAACACUCCAAAGCCAUAAAACUCAUUCUGAACAUCCUGACUAAAGAUUCAUCGUUCUUUAGCACAAACAACAUUUUCAAAAGACAUAUUAAUUAAUUAAUAAUAAACCUCAAUGAUAGAUCUCAAUCCCAAUACUGCAGUUAUCUUAUAGUCACAGAAGCCUGCCUCAGAGAAAAGUUUCGCCCAAUCUUUCUCAUUUCUUUGCCUUCCUUUGACUAGAACCAUCGCCCCCAUAUCAUAGAACAGUUGGGUCUCAAUCGCCUCAUGAUCAUCAUCCCCUUUCUGCUGGCUUUUGCAGAACGUGUCAACAAUAAUCACUUUGCCUCCUUUUUCCUUGCUAGGAAUUGCUUCUUUACAUUUUUUUAGUAUUUGUACACACUCAUCAUCGUUCCAAUCAAUCAAUAUCCACUGCUCGAUUGCAAAUUGUAUCACAAUGAAAGAAAAUUUUUGUUAGAAACAUUACACCCCAUCUAAAGCUUUUUGCGUCAAAAAGAAAAAACAAAACUAUUCUCCUAUAGUACCAAACACAUGCCAUCAAUUUGACGUUUAAAACUUUGUUCUUUUUCUGUCCCUCUUCAUGAUGCAGUUCUUAGAUUAAGCAUAGCCUCAAUUUCUUCUGCUCAAUCUUACUUUUGAAGUUGACACUUCCCAUAAUUGGUGAAUUUUAAUCCUAUGAUCUCAGGCAGUUAGGAUGAAAAUCUAAAUAAAACUUCUAUAAAAGAAAAUGGUCAACUAGAAAACGUGCAACAUCGAUUUCAUACCUUCAUUAAAACAGCAUCUGCAGGAGGAAUGGCUUCAAACAUGUUACCUCCAACAUAGGCCAAGUUCUUACUACUCUCCAAGCCAUCAACAACAUGAGGAAGAUCAAGCACAGUGCAUUUCAGGCGAGGGAAAGCAUCAGCAAUUGCCUUAGCAAAGGUUCCAGUUCCACCUCCAAUAUCUACCAAUGAAUUCAAACCCUCAAAAACGUGCUUACAAUCUUUGGUCACCACGCUACUAACCAUCCGGGCAUCACUAGCCAUUGCUUCGUUAAAGAAUUGAUUAAGCUGAGACUCAUGGCUCGCAAAAUCAUAAAGUGACCUCCCAUGGCAAGUAUAAAAGGGGCUUUCAUCGCUGUUCUGAAACCACUGGCUGAGAUGGUGCCAUGGAUCAGUCAAGGCGGGAUCGAGCAUGGCCAGUAAAAAUGGCGUCACGCUAAAAGGGUUGCUCUUUAAAAGAAGUUCAGAAGCAGAAGUAAGCAGAUAACCCUUUUGAUUAUCAUUCUCAUUUCCAGGAAUCUUUGCUUCAAUGAAGAAGCCUGAGUGGAUCAAAAUCUGCAUGAGACGAUAAACGAAUGGGGUUUUUUCAUUCUUGAUGGGAAGAGCAUCGAUCAAUUGAUCGAGGGUCAUCGGCUGGCCAUGCUUGUGAAUAACAUCUGGAAUGUCUAAUUGAAUUGCACAUUUGAGGGACAUAGAAUUUAUGAAGUUGAAUAUAUGGUUCCAUAUGUGAGCUUGUGCUUGAAAAAGCUCAUCAGUAUGAUCACCAAUAUUUCUAGCCAAAUCCAUUUUUUGUUUGAAAUUCUAGGAUUUUUUGUGCUUUUUGGUGGUGUGAAUUACAAGUAGAACUCGCAUUUUAUAGGCGGAUUAUGGGAUUCACAGGAAUAAUGUUGCAAUAAUUUCUUCUAAUAGCCUGCCAAGAACCUGUUAAAAAAAUAAACAAUGAAAUCAACUCAGAAAAAAGGAUCCAAAGGCAGCUGACAUCAAUUUCCUUUUCUUGACUGACAGGUGUCGUGCCUGUGCAAUAAUAAAAACCUGCUCAACUAAAAUUAAUUUUUGUAGUAGUGGUAAGCAGGAUCGAAUCCACAGAGACUGGGUGUAACUGUUUCUUUUCAAAUUCACAGUAAUCAGGGGGUGUUUUUACCUAGAAGGUGACAAUCAAAUAAAUGCAAAUAAAAUUCAAGAAACUACUAAAAAUUAAAUAACAAUUUACUAAAGUCAAAUGAAUGAUAACUAACGAGCUAGCCAAGAAAUAACUUCAGCAAUGAUUCACCUAAUUGAUCAUCGAAACAAAGGCAAUUCCAAAUAUUUACUAAUAAAUAGGUUACAACUGCUAAACAAGCGAUGACAGUCAACCCUUCCUUACUGUAUCGGUGACUAAGGUACGCCCGUUAAUCACUGUUCUAAUUGAAAAAUAAUCCUAGAUACGCUCGUAAGAUUUAAUUCCCCAAUUGCCUUACGUAUUAGAGGGGCUCUAUUUUAACAAAAUAACGCACUACCUGGAUUAUUUUAGGUUAGCUCGCGUAUCUCCCUGACACAAAUCUAAUCAUGUCAGUUGUCACUAUUUUGAGACAAUUAAACAAUUACGGAUUUAACGUCCCAAUUGACAAUAGAUUAUCAAAUUAACUAAUUAUCCGGAUCCAAGACAAUCAAUUAAUUGAAUAAUCACAAAUAUUGAAACCAGGGAAUAUGCGAAUACUAAUAAAUAAAAGAAAGAGAUAAAAUUAAAUCGAUUUCACACUUUUAGGCGACUCAAACCAUCCAUUGUUCCUUGACUAGAGGAGGGGAUUUAAUUCAUAUUUGAUGAACAAAACUCACAGAAAAUUGUAAAGGAAACAGCGGCCAUUGUCCCUUGAAAUCGGGGAAAUUCAAUUCGUAGUAAUCAAGAAGAAAGACAAGCUACAGGAAGGAAUUCAAUGUUUCCACUUGGCCUUUACAUACGCAUAAGAGAAACCACAAGAAGAUGACAUGGAAAAAGUCCAAAACUAAACUAAGCUAGAGGUCCUACUAUCUGAAGAAAGAAAAGCUACUCCAGAAAAGUCAAAAGAAAAACUAUCUAAUAUCUGGUUCCUCCUACUCUUGUGCGGCGUCCGCGGCUAUCAAGAAAACCGAAGACUUCCCUUUUUUCUUUCUUCGGCCAAAUUACCAAAAAGGGCUGCACCUCCUUUGUUCCAAAAAUGCCCUUGAGUGCCUUCUUUUUUAAUUCUUUCCCGAUGAUCGUAAAAUUAGCGCUUGUUAUCAUAUUUUCGUUCUAUUCCCUGAAAUAAAUACAAAUUACGAAAAAUAAAUAGAAUUUAAUAAUUAAUCCACAUCAGAUCAGGUAAUAGGAAAAAUUAAUAAUAAAAUAAAUGAUAAAAUUGUAACCCAUCAUUGACCAAUUCAUAUAUGAGUAUAUGGGUUACUCAGUCUCCUUCUUGGUGUGACUACACAUAAUUCAUUGUUUCUGGAGACGUGCUUAAAUUAAAGUGUAUAAUCAGCGCUUGUUAAUUAAUUGUUCUUUGUGUCAACUCGUAUUAUCACUUGAGAAAAUCACAUAAUGCACGCUGCAGGUGGUGCUUCUUGUUUGGAAGGUGAAGAAAAAGAAAUUUAAAUAGUCACAACUUUUGAGUCAUGGUUGAGUUAAAGUUUACGUCGAUGCGUCAUUCUUGAGCAAAUUGUCUUUUCACAACGAUCUGAUGUAUUGCAAUGCUUAAGAAACUUUAUUUCUUGUCCUAAAUAUAGGGAUCGAUUUUUUAAUUGAAACGUUAAGACUUGUUUUCAUCCUGCUAUGAGAGACUGACAACUCUGAUGGAUUCGAAAAUUAGAACUCGCCAUUAUUGUUAAUCAAUAUCAAAUUAGUACUCACCUUCGACCUGUAAAAUAUGGGGUAAUUGAGCACGGCAUGAUGCUAAAGUAAAUGAAGUAAUCUUUAAUUUAGGGUCCUAUCUAAUAAGUGUCCAUUAAGCACUUGUUGUUAAGAUGAAGUUCACAUGUAAAUAUCUUAGAAAUGUAAAGUUAAAUAAAGAAAUUUUAUAAAAAUAAGGUAUAGUAGUAAUUGUUAGGAUGUAUAUUUAUACGGUGAGUUUGGUAUGAUUUACAAGUCUUAAUGGCCACAAGAUAACACAAUUCUUAAUUUAAAAGUUCUUUAUUUUGAAAAUUCAACACAGGCAGACAUUUUCUAACACAUGUAAAUUUGGAAAGCUUUCCUUGUUAUUGUUCAGAUGGAGAAAGGAAAGCCUAAUUUUUAAAAAAUAUUUUAAAAGGUUAUCUAAAACUUAAUUUAAAUUUUUUUAAAAUUUUUAAAAAAUAUUUUAAAAUAUAUUCUAGAAAUUCUUCAAUUCUUAAAUAUUUCAAAAUAUUUUUUAAAAAUAUCUCAAAAUAUACUUUAAAAAUUCUGUUACAGUAAAUUUUUUUAAAAACAUCUCAAAAAACAGUUAAUCCAAAUGGAGUGAAUCACUCCAUUAAGUUUGUACAUUUCCACUUCAAUAGUCAACUAGUUUUGUACCCGUUCGUUGAAUGGGAAUCGUCGAAAAAUAACAAACUUUAGUCAAUUUAUAAAAAUGUCGAUAUAAAAUACAUAUUUAAUGUAUAAUCUAUUAUAAUUUGUCUUAAGUAUAUUACCAUGUGCGCAUUGUAAUGUAAAGUAUUCUUAUAAUAUAAAUUUGAACAUCUAAUUCAGUGAAUAAUAAUUCAAAAAUAGAAAAAAUAACAUUCAACAAUACCAUAACAUUCAAAAACUUGAAAAUAAAUAAAAAGUGCAGUAAAUAGUAUCAAAUAAUAUUCUACUAUUCAAAACUUUUUUUUUGUUUUUUUCUGUUUGAACAUUCUCCUCGAUUUGUCCGUGCAAAUCAGCAUUUAUUGAUUUUCUAUUAUCACUGCAUGAUAGCAAAGUAGGAUAACUAAAUAUUAAAAAAAAUAAAUGAUUUAUUGCAUUGAAGUUUGUGUAUAACAAUACAUAAAGAUUAUAAUUAAGUAAAUGGCCAGAGUCUUUUAAUUAACUAAUUAAUGAAUUUGCAGAUAUAUCUAAUAGAGAUAUUUAUGUUGUAUUUAUAUCGCAUUACUUUCCAGUGCCUUUUGUUUUUGGUUGUUUUUCCUUAAGGCAAAUUAACAAACAUCGUAGUAUAUGAUCACAAAAAUCAAUUAACAAACAUGUUAGAAAAAAUCCUACAAAAAUAACGAUGAAAGUACUUGUUUAAAUCCUAUGUCUUCAUACAAAACAAAUAGAAAAUAAAACAAAAAAAAUUCAAGAUAUGUUACUAAGCUCUUACAAUUGAAGAUCAACAUGCCUUUUUAAAAUAUAUAUAUAUAUAUAUAUUGAAAAAAGAUGUACCUGAUAAUCAAGAGGAGUGAAAACCCAAAAUCGAUACUUUAAUAUGCCAACCGCUUGCACUGGAAAUACCUAACCAUGAAUUUGAUACUUGAAAUCAAUAUAUUAGAGGCCCAAUCAAGGAACAUAUAAAUACCAAUAAAUGAAGAAAAUAAUUAAAACAGAUUCGAUCUCACAGUAGUUGUCGAACCAAAUCGUCAGUUGUCCCCUUGACUAGAAACACUUAACCACGCCUCAUGAGAACUCUCCCCGUUGGGGAAUAUUGUCGAACACCUGGCGUGUGUCAGAGGCCAGUCUAAGGAAAGAAAGAAAAGAAACUAAAACUAAACUAAGAACUAUUGAUUCCCUAUCUCCCGUACGUUUCUUCCUUUUUAAAGCCAAAAGGAAGUCUAAUGCUAUCUCUAGUGGUCCCCACACCAAAUUCAAAGUCUUGUACGUUUCUUUUCCUAGAGUCCAAAUGACUCAUGCUUCUUAUCCGUGGUCCCCGCACAUGUGGACACAACCUCCAAAGUACUUCUUGCUCCAAGUCUCUUACGUAGCUUUCUUUGAAAAGCCCACAUGACUAAAUGCCUUGCACUAGCUUGUGGUCCCCACCAAUUCAAGAGUCCAAGGUCCUUAGAAGUCUCCAUUUUCCCAUAAAAGUCCCUCCUUUUUGGUAAUUUUCUGCUUUGUUCCUGAAAUUAAACCCCAAUACCAAAUAUAAGUAAAUAUUAAUAAUUAAAACAAUAUUUGGCAAUAAUAAAAGGGGAAAUUAACAAUAAAAUUACUAACAAUUAACACCCUAUCACAUAAUCAUCCAAAUAACUUUGGGUAGGAAAUAAGACCUUAUGUGACUCGUACUAUGCACAUAUAUAAACCUGUACGUAAUAAAUUUACAAAUGCGUUAUCAAGAUAGAUUUUAUCGAUCUUAAAAGACCACCUCCACUAUAUCGAGUCCUUUAAGUGCAUGGACUCCUAUGAUGUGGGUCCAUACACGAAAUACUCCCUACCAUCUGGGCAAAGAUGUAUUGUGAUUAAGGAAUUAUUAGCAGAAAUAUAUUAAAAAAAAGACGGGCGGAGGACACGACGGACGGAGGGUUGGGUAGGGGCUUUCGGGGUGCAAAACUUCAAUAAAUAUCUAAUGUUUUAUCUCAUCUUUCUUUAGCUAUGAUAAUGGGAUUUUAUUUCUUUGGUUGAUGACACUCCAUUUUUUUUAUGGACUUUUCUAGAAUUUUUCAAUCAGAUGAAGUGCCAUUUCUCUUUGUACAUCAAUUAUGCAUGGGGAUUGUGAGUCUUGUAAAAACUUUCUCGGGCUAACUUUAUUUAAUUUCCAUGUCUAGAUUGUUUGUAUGUUGUUCUAUAUAUGGGUAAAUUAUCUUAAAAUAAAAAGGAUCUAUGAUGAAGCUGUUAAAAAAAAAAAAGAAUAGGACACUAUAAAAAAAUAUAUUAUCAUUUAUUCCUAUAUAUCUAAUAGAGGAGAUUUAUGUCUCUUUUAUUUUUAUCGCAUUACUUUCCAGUUCCUUUUUUGGGUAAGAAAUAAGAAUCAUAUAAUAUUAAGAAUUUUUAUAGAAAAUAAGAAUUGAUAUAUAUCCAAACAAAAAAGGAGUAAGCCAUGUAGGAAACUACUUUUUUUUUUUUUUUUUGUAAGCGGAAGGACUCGAACCCGAGACCUCUUGCUUACACUCCCUCCCCCCGUACCACCCAAUCCAACCCUCGUAGGAAACUACUUGCCAUCUCGUUAAGCCACGUAGAAAAGAGAAAAUAUGAAGAGAUAAGUAUGAUAAUACGACUUUAUUAUAUAUAUAUAUAUAUAUAUAUAUAUAUAUAUAUAUAUAUAUAUAUAUAUAUAUGAUUACUUUGGAUUGCUCUUCCUACCUUAUUCAUACCUCAGCCGUCCUUCUAGUUUCUUCUUCUACUCCUCAUUUUUUCCCUUUUAUCAUUUUUUUAAUUUUAUUAUUUAGACGGUGAAAAUGAUGAUAAAGUUAGUAAAGAUGUACAUUACAAACUUUUUUUUUUUACCAUAGAAGGCCAUUUGGUAGUGAAGAAGAUGAUAAUAGCCAAUAUAAAUAUCAAUUAUAAAGGACGCAUAUAUCUUCAGUACAUGGUUGUUCUACUUUUCUUUCUUUUUUGUUAAUUUUCAAUAUUGGAGUUGAUUUUACAAACCUUAUUUGAUUUGUUCUUGACUUGGGAGAGUCAGAAUCUUCUUUUUCCAUUAAUUUGAGAUAUUCGGUAGAUAAAUUUAUAUUUGUUUUGAUCUUUAAUAUUGCUAAACGAAAAACAUUUCAUUUCUUUGGUUGAUGAAUUGAAAAUUGCUAGACAUUGUGUAAAAGAUAUUUCAGAAUUCAGGGUUUUUGCCUUUAUUUCAUACUUCCUCAUUAUUAGCUAUUUUUUUAUUAUUAAAAAAGUUUUAAAAAAAUCAUCGAGCCGAUGAACUGACUGGUUAAACCGAUUUUUUUUUUUUUAAAAAAAGAACCGAACAUCCACCCAAUUUGUUUGGAAAAAAAAAAAUCCACCUAAUUCAUUUACCUGUCCGACUUUGAAAACAUCGAGGACAGCACAGAUAACAGAAAGGACAACAAUUCUUCGACAAAAUUAAUGGGCUGCCCAACAAGCAAUCAAGUACACAGAAGAUAACAAUUUGAAAUUGACUACUUCCUAACAAAUUUAUAUCUAUUUGAAAGAACAAUUAAAAAGUGAAUUAAAGAAUGAUUAAUGGUACAAAUAAGUCACUACCAGCCAAUAAAUACUGCAAGUUGUCAUGUGAAAAGGUUCUUCCGUUUAUUUAAGUGUAAUUAAAGGCAACGGGAUUGCCGGCCUGCCGCUUAAGCUUCUCAAUCACAACAUGUACUUAGCUGUACGUGUCUUUUGAGGUGGACAUAAGGUGUAAACUAUUUAGCCAAACCUGCUUUUUUUUAUUUAAUAUUUUCGGGUUCAUUCAUUCAAGAUGCAUUUGGUAAAAUUAAAAUCUGACAUCGUUAAGUUAUUAAAUUAUAAAUACUGAAAUCUAAUAUUUGAGCAUAUUCUGCAUUCAAUGAAAUCCUACACCGUUCGAACCCAUUUAAUUAAUUAAAAUGCUCAAUUUCUCGUUAUCAAACAUAUCUAAACAUGUUAAAGAUCUGAAUAUAUUAAAUAAGUUUAAGUAUUGAAUUGAAUUAUCAAACAGGGUUUUAGUUUAAGAAGCUUAAAAUUGCAUUCAAGUGUACAUUUUUAUUUAUCAGACUAGUUUUUCACCCUCGCAUGAGGAUGCCCUUGGUCUGUGUUUUGUUUAUCAGUAGCAAUCUUUAUUGUGAUUUGUUAAACACGUUUAUUGGGUAUUUCAGUUGCAAGGGGAUACGAUUCUUGCUGUUGUUUAUUUACCCAAUGCUAGUGGCAUUGCUGAUCAUGUUCAAUUGCAUUCGACAUAUUGCGCUGAGAAUGCAGUUAUUCGUCCUGUGAUGAUGCAAGAUUGCUUUCAAAUUGGCUCUAGUCCAUACGAUAAUUGUAGGGAGGAGAAAUGUACAAAUGCAAGAAUUCGUCGUUACGAAUGAAGAAUAGUAUAUCCUAAUAAGCGGAAGAUGUGUUUGAUAGGGAUAUUGGGUAUUAAUUUGAUUUGCUACUCACUAUUGUUGUUCCCUGGGUUGCAAACGAAUUUAAUCGCUUGCGAAUCGAUCGUGAGAGACUCGAGUCCAGCUAGGUCAACAUUGAGCUCGAGUCAAGUUCGAUCUCGAACUCGAAUUCAAAAAUAUUAAACCCAUUAGCUCGCGAGUCUACUCGAACUCGAUUAUAUAUAUUAUUUUUUAUUUUAAUAAUAAAAUUAAAUAUAUAUUCUUAAUAUUUUAUUAUUUGUUAAGGAAAAUUAUUAUUUUAUUUAUUUUUUAAAAAUUAAAUAAUUUUUUUUAUUUUUUAAACUCGAGUUCAAGAUCGAGUUUUACAUUUUGAGCUCAUCGAGCUCAAGUUCAAAUUUCAUAAACUUAGGUUGAGACUGAAUUUAAUUAGUUCAAAACUCGACUCAUCUUAACUCAUUUGUACCCGUAAUUGUUCCCAUGCUGGUACGAAUGAACAAAAAAUCGGACCUCAAUAUGGAAGGAAAAUCGAGAGCAGCACAACUAGCAAUUCAUGUCAAUAUAGCAAUCACAUGGUGUGCUUAACACUAAUCAAUAUGGCAUAAACAUAAAAAAAUGGUCUUGUCUUUCCGAAGGAAGUCUAGAAUCCAAAAUAGAGAAAGGAAAGGUGGGGGGCUGUUUGUGUUUUUAAACUCGGAUCAAACUGACUGGUUCGACUGGUUGAACCGAGAAUCAGCUAGGCUUUCAGUCCGAGUUCAUUCAAAAAACCGCCUAAAUAAAAAUCAGUCAAAAUCGGGUCUGACCGGGAAUUGAAAAUAACCAUAAGGACCGGUUUGUUUCAUUUGUUUGGUAUUCUGCUUUUUCUUCUUCACUUUUUGACUGUUCCUAUCCCUAAGAGAUGAUCACUAACCUUUAACUACCCUAUGUUCUCUCACGGAUACUUCCAUGGUGGUAAUCUAGCAAGAGCCUUUCAUGGUUGCCAUCAUAGUUGCUAGAUCUAGAACUUAAAAAAAAAAGGAUGGCUAGUUCUGAAAUAAAAAAAAAAAGGAAAAGAUGAAUCAGCAAGAUGAUGAAAAGAAAACAAGGAUUGAAACUUACGAGCUAACGAGUUAAGUAUCUUUAAACUCGAGUUUGCUCGAGCUCGGUCACUUCAAUUGCGAGUAACUCGACUCAUUUGGACCUCUAGGAUUGAUUGAAGCUCUGAUGUGGUAUGAUUUUUCUAAUUAUUUAUUUAUUUGACUUGUACUUUUUUUUUUCAAUGCUCCAUUGAUUUGUUAACCAUUCUUUUCCCUUUCUGGUAUUAGGACUGCAUGGUUAUUAUUAUGUUUGGGAUUUUAAGAAUGCAAAGUUCAAGACCAUACCACUUUACUGAAAUAUUUCUUGAAAUUUUCUUUUACAAUAAAAUGCCUAAUAUUAGAACACUUGUAAAUGCCUCUAAAGCCUAUUUUGUGUUCGUAUCGCCCACAUUCUUUUAAAACCGGCCUGAUAUUAGUUAAAAAUAGUAAAGAUCGUAGACUCAAUAUAAUUUGCCUGAAAUUUAAUAGGACCAAAUUGAUUAAUUUUCUAAAUAUCAAGGACUAAAUUUUCUUCCUUGAAACAAAAAAACCAUUUUACCCACAUCCUAAUUGUUGAGGACCAAAAUCUAAUUAGUUUAAGACUGAGGCGGAGGACAACCACCAGAAGAGAGGUAAAUGGAGUUCUGGAGGGUGGUUGCCCCUCUCUUCUGCUUCUGUUCCUCUGCCGAUGAACUCCAAAAAAAACAAAAAAUGCAAUUCCUUCUUUCUAAAUCCAAAUCAGAUAUAUAUAUAUAUAUAUAUAUAUAUAUAUAUAUAUAUAUAUAAAAUAAAGUCGUAUCCUCAUACUUAUCCCUUCAUAUUUUUUCUUUCCUACGUGACUUAACGAGACGGCAAGUAGUUUCCUACGUGGCUUACUCCUUUUUUGUUUGGAUAUAUAUCAAUUCUUAUUUUCUAUAAAAAUUCUUAAUAUUAUAUGAUUCUUAUUUCUUACCCAAAAAAGGAACUAAAAAGUAAUGCGAUAUAAAUAAAAGAGACAUAAAUCUCCUCUAUUAGAUAUAUAGGAAUAAAUGAUAAUAUAUUUUUUUAUAGUGUCCUAUUUUUUUUUUAACAGCUUCAUCAUAGAUCCUUUUUAUUUUAAGAUAAUUUACCCAUAUAUAGAACAACAUACAUACAAUCUAGACAUGGAAAUUAAAGAAAGUUAGCCCGAGAAAGUUUUACAAGACUCACAAUCCCCAUGCAUAAUUGAUGUACAAAGAGAAAUGGCACUUCAUCUGAUUGAAAAAUUCUGAAAAAGUCCAUACAAAGAAAUGGAGUGUCAUCAACCAAAGAAAUAAAAUCCCAUUAUCAUAGCUAAAGAAAAAUGAGAUAAAACAUUAGAUAUUUAUUGAAGUUUUGCACCCCAAAAGCCCCUACCCGACCCUUCGUCCGUCGUGUGCUCCGCCCGUCUUUUUUUUUAAUAUAUUUCUGCUAAUAAUUCCUUAAUCACAAUACAUCUUUGCCCAGAUGGUGGGGAGUAUUUCGUGUGUGGACGCACAUCAUAGGAGUCCAUGCACUUAAAGGACUCGAUAUAGUGGAGGUGGUCUUUUAAGGUCGAUAAAAUCUAUCUUGAUAACGCAUUUGUAAAUUUAUUACGUACAGGUUUAUAUACGUGCAUAGUACGAGUCACAUAAGGUCUUAUUUCCUACCCAAAGUUAUUUGGACGAUUAUGGUUUUAUUUCUUAUAAGAAUUCUUAAUAUUAUAAGAUUCUUAUUUCCUACCCAAAGUUACGUACUUUAAGCAACUUAAAUUAAGAUAAACAUACUUUUAAUGUUCUUAUCAAUAUCUCUUUGUAUUCUUAUCAAUUCUUAUUUUCUAUGUCUAUACUACAUAUAGCCUCUAAUAUAUUGAUUCAAGUAUCCAAUUCAUGGUUAGGUAUUUCCAGUGCAAGCGGUUGGCAUAUUAAAGUAUCGAUUUUGGGUUUUCACUCCUCUUGAUUAUCAGGUACAUCUUUUUUCAAUAUAUAUAUAUAUAUUUUUUAAAAAGGCAUGUUGAUCUUCAAUUGUAAGAGCUUAGUAACAUAUCUUGAAUUUUUUUUGUUUUAUUUUCUAUUUGAUUUGUAUGAAGACAUAGGAUUUAAACAAGUACUUUCAUCGUUAUUUUUGUAGAAUUUUUUCUAACAUGUUUGUUAAUUGAUUUUUGUGAUCAUAUACUACGAUGUUUGUUAAUUUGUUUUCAGGAAAAACAACCAAAAACAAAAGGCACUGGAAAGUAAUGCGAUAUAAAUACAAGAAACAUAAAUAUCUCUAUUAGAUAUAUCUGCAAAUUCAUUAGUUAAUUAAAAGACUCUGGCCAUUUAUUUAAUUAUAAUCUUUACGUAUUGUUAUACACAAACUUGAAUGGGAUAAAUCAUUUAUUUUUUUUAUAUUUAGUUAUCCUACUUUGCUAUCAUGCAGUGAUAAUAGAAAAUCAAUAAAUGCUGAUUUGCACGGACAAAUCGAGGAGAAUGUUCAAACAGAAAAAAACAAAAAAAAAGUUUUGAAUAGUAGAAUAUUAUUUGAUACUAUUUACUGCACUUUUUAUUUAUUUUCAAGUUUUUGAAUGUUAUUUUUUCUAUUUUUGAAUCAUUAUUCACUGAAUUAGAUGUUCAAAUUUAUAUUAUAAGAAUACUUUACAUUACAAUGCGCACAUGGUAAUAUACUUAAGACAAAUUAUAAUAGAUUAUACAUUAAAUAUGUAUUUUAUAUUGACAUUUUUAUAAAUUGACUAAAGUUUGUUAUUUUUCGACGAUUCCCAUUCGACGAACGGGUACAAAACUAGUUCUAUAUAUUUUCGAUGUGAAAUACGAAGGGGCAAAAGGUAGUUUUGGAUGACAAUCAUUUUCUUGCACAGUUGCGCGUACCUAUUACGCGUUAAUUUACAACAAACUCAAAGAAGUCAUUGCAGUUGGUGGAGUCAGUGACCCAUCUUAAUGUGAUAACUUAUCUUUUUGGAAGAAUAAUUAAAAAGUGAAUUAAAGAAUGAUUAGUGGUACAAAUCAGUCACUACCACCCAAUAAAUACUGCAAGUUGUCAUGUGAAAAGGAUCUUCCGUUUAUCUACCUAUAUAGUAAAAGCGCGAAUGAGGUUGUCAAGUGUGGUGGUUUUGUGCUGACGUGGCUCGUUUUUAUUGGCUGAAAUUUGGUCGUCAAUCACGUGGAACUCGCGUGCUUUCGCUGGAAGGAGAAGUGCCAUUCUUGCUGUUGUCCGACGAGAAGAAAGCUGGACCUUCGGUUUUUAAGAAGAAACAUUUCUCUGUAGCAUGGCCAUCAUUUCUUUUUUUUCUUUUCUUUUCUCUGGUCGGCAGAUUGCCAGCUGAGUCAUCUUGUCUACCUAUAUAGUAAAAGCGCGAAUGAGGUUGUCAAGUGUGGUGGUUUUGUGCUGACGUGGCUCGUUUUUAUUGGCUGAAAUUUGGUCGUCAAUCACGUGGAACUCGCGUGCUUUCGCUGGAAGGAGAAGUGCCAUUCUUGCUGUUGUCCGACGAGAAGAAAGCUGGACCUUCGGUUUUUAAGAAGAAACAUUUCUCUGUAGCAUGGCCAUCAUUUCUUUUUUUUCUUUUCUUUUCUCUGGUCGGCAGAUUGCCAGCUGAGUCAUCUUGGGAAAUGUAAUUCUUCUUCUCUUGCUUUUGUUUGUCCGAGAGAGAAGAAGAAGGACCUUCAGUUUUUUGGCUGAGAUUUGGCCGUCAAUCGCGUGGGGCUUGUGUGCUCUUGCUGGGAAGUGCAAUUCUUCUUGUCUUGCUUUUGUCCGAGAGAGAAGCAGAAGGACCUCCGGUUUUGACGAUAAACGUUGCCAGCUUAGUGAGAUUGGCGGCUGGUGAUGGUUUGAUUGAUGAUGAUAGCUGUUUGGUGAUGGGCUCAAUGUGGUUGGUGUGCUUUGACGAUACUGCCCUUCUUUUAAAAUCAGAUUCACCGUUGCAUCUGACUAAGUUUCUUCCUUCUCUUUGCGCUUUGGUGAGAAAAGAAACUACAGCUCUGCUCUAUAGGGCUGCCGAAAAAGCACAUUUCCCUCUUUUCUUCUUUGAUGAUGAUGAUGAUGAUUGACAAGACUGGAAGCUCUUUGUUAGUCCGAUGUAUGCAGGGGUUUCUAACCUCCAAAUUUCGCCUUUUCCAGCUUUCGUCAUCAUGCACCGUGGUAAUUGUGCCUCAUUUCCAUUGCUCCCUUUUCCUUGCCCUUCAGCUGCUUGCUUCUUCAUUCUCAACUAUUGUCUUCUUUCUUUCCCCCACUUUUCCCAGCCUUUCUGAGAGCUACUGUCUUGCUGCCUUCUUGCAUAAGGUUUAAUUCUGUUGUUAUUGUUUGAUUUUAGCUCCUUCUGAGACCGUUGUGUGCACUGUUGUGGUUAUUUGUUUUUUUUAGCGGCUAAAUUUUAUUCUCUCUUCAGUUGUUACUGUUUAAUUGCCUUUUUGGUUUGCUUUUCAUCUCAUUUUGCUUCUUCCCUUUUCCCUCAUUUAUCCUAUUUAAAUUUGUUAUUUUCCUUGCCGGAUCCUUUUCCCCUGCUUUUCCCGUGUCCCCCCUAUGAACAAUUCUUGCAUUGCUGUGCUUUCUUCACAUUUUGUCCUACUACUCUUACUGCCUACAAAUUAUCCUUCCCCGCCUUCUACCUUUUUUGGAGUUCUUAGUAAGCAUUCCUUAUAUUAUACCCUAUAUAUUUUCAGACACCAUUCUGGAGUGUACCCCUCCCUCUCUUACAGGAGGGAACUAUUUUGUGAGGAAUGCUUGUAAGGAUAACUGUUUCAGAGAUACUUAUUAAGAGGUUAUCUUCCCCCCCCUUAAAAAAUGCUUGCAAAAAAUAAACCUGCCACCCAACUUAUUAAGAGCUUUCAGAAUUGCCUGCAAGAAAUGCUUGUUCUACCGCAUUUUACUCUUUGGAAUUGUAUCUUCUUACCCUUUUUUCCUCUUGUUGGUUUGUUAGGUGCUGAAGCAGGUUCUGUCCUCUUCUUUGUUGCUUUGCUUUGCUGUUGGCUGAUAGAGGCUUAAGGUUAAGGUGACAUUACUUAUCCUCCCUUCCGUAUGUGCUUUUACCUUGCUCCUGUCCAAUAAUCAUUUGCCCCGUGGUUUUAUUGCUUCACUUUUAAAUGUUACCAGCUUGGCUCGAACUUUUAUCUGCUUUUCCUUGUGUGCUCUGUUCCAUGCUCCUGUCUGAGGCCUGUGCUUUAACUUUGCUUCGCUCUUUUCCUUUUAAAUAAUUAUACUUACUGGAUUCCAUGGUUCUGUAUAAGGACUGCACUUAUCUUUCUUUUUUUAUGUCUGCUGAGUUUCGUUCUCCUGUGUGAGAGCUGCACUUUAGCUUUUCUUCCUCUGUUUUUAUGCGUCAAUCUUGGUAGAGCUUUGCCCUACUUCUUACUUAUUUAGUUACCGCUGUAGUCGUGUAUUAGACGCGUACGUUUGGCUUUCUUUUCGCCUACUCAAGUGUGCACCAAUCAGAUGGAUAGGAAUGCUGUGCGCCGCAAAAAAUAUGCAGAAAUGCCGCCUCUGAAGAAAGCAGAGCUUCUGCGCUCUCGAAGGCAGGCUCGGGCCUCCAAGAAAGCUGGAAAAGCUCCAGCUCCUCGUGUUCGCAGGGUCCCAUUAGGAUAUGUUGAAACUGGUGUGUCAUUCCCAAAUGCUCAUCAUAUGCCAUGUCGUAGUGAGGAUCCUACGGCUGCUCAUUCUCAGCCGUUGGGGAAUACACAUGUUGUGUUUCCAGCUGAUGAUGACUUUGCGAUUAGAGAGGGAUUAGAUUUCAUGUCGUGUCAGUCCCCUGGUUCAUUUACUGGUCAUCCUAUCCCCUCCUUUGGACCACAACUCAGUGAUGACCCAGGUAGAGAGAAACAUAAGCACGUAUUCUCCCUUCCGCCUGAAAAUGAACAACCUGUUAACCUUUCACAUCCUGAAGUUAUGCUAGGCUUAUUUCCUUUGAAUUCAUCUCUUAAGAACUCUGAACAGUCGAUUCCAAAAGAAAAUGCUCCUGCGAGUCAUUCUUUCCCUGCUGGAAUCCCAGAUUCUCCUUUAGAACAACCUUGCGAAGGUACUGUCUUGCCUUACGAUAUACGCUGUGUUUGCAAACCUCCUGGUCUGUUUCGGCCAGACUGUAAAUAUUGAAUAACCAACUUUAUAUCCUGGCCUUCCGGAAGCCUUCUUCCUUUGUUUGCCGGUGUUCCUUUAAGGGAAUUGGCACUCUUUUGCCUACCUUAUUCGCUUGUGCAAUUCGCAGCCAACUUUCCUGCUCACACAGAGGAGGUGUCCAGGUGUGAGCCAACAUCUGGUCACUUGAAGAAAAAAACCAGAAAAGUAGCUCCUUCUUCUGAUCCAUCUAUUGUUCGCUCCCGUUACAAAAAACGCACCGCCCCUGCAUCUGUAAACAACCCCAGCUCAGGUUUGGAUUUGCUCCUGAUCCUCUUUAACCGUUUGUUGCCUUCCAUCCUGAUUUAUCCAGCUCACCAGUCAUAAUUAAUAAACUCGUUUGUGCGUGCAAUAAAACUGCAGCGAAAAAACAAGCUCGUGCACAUUCAACCAUGUCUCGUCUUGCCAAUAUUCCCAAUGCAUCUCUGGUUCUGCCUCGUGUUCCUGAUUGUCAGCAUUGUGGAGCGAAAAGGUUCCAUUUGGAACCUCCUUCCUUUUGCUGCUCAGGAGGAGAGAUCUCUAUCGUUGCUCCUCCAAUGCCUUACGAUUUGAAACGCUUAUUCAUUGGCAACGAUGAAGAGAGUGCUCACUUUAGAACCAUUGUUCGCACUUAUAACAACAACCUUGGCUUCACAUCUUUUGCUGCAAAGUAUGACUCUGAAUUAACAAAAAACACAAAAGGUGUCUAUACCUUCCGUGUUCAAGGUCAGGUUUACCACUUUCUUGAUGGUCUCGUUCACUUAGGUGAUCGACCAUCUGGAAUCCAAUUAUAUUUUUUUGACACUGCUGAGGAAUUAACAAAGAGGCUUGGUAACUCAGAUAAACUACGCGAAAGCACUUUAAGACUGCUUAUGCGCGUACUUUCUGACAAUCCUUAUGCUCGGUUCUUUAAAGGCCUUAGGGAUGUUCCACACCUUGACAACCUGAACAUUAUCCUUAAUUGUUAUCCUUCACUUGACCAGCGAGUAUAUAACCUUCCCUCAGCCUCGCAAGUAGCAGCUAUAUGGACUGAAAGUGAAGAUCAGUCGUCCGAUAGGCGCGCUCAUAUUCAGGUUUAUUCUCGCUCGGCUGGUAGCCAUAGGAUUCAACAUUACUAUGGCUGUUACGACCCUUUACAGUACCCUCUCCUUUUCCCUCGUGGUGAGUGUGGCUGGCACCAUGGGAUUAAAAGGCUUUGCAAGAGGAAAAGAGGAGGGGACGCUUGUGAGAAUGAUAUUAACAUUGAUCCAACUUCAGUUAACUCCUCAUCGGAGUUAAUCGAUUUAGAACAAAGAGGCGAGCACAUUUCUCUCUUCUUAUAAACUGCUGAACCUGCCCAUUGCGUUACAUUAUUUAACCAUGUACAGCAUCUUUUCCCUUCUUUAUAGCUGCUGACCAAGGAAAAACAGAGGAAAGUACUGUAUCUGCUAGGGAGUACUACUGUUAUAGGUUCCAAAUAAGGGACGAUGAUGAGUCAAUGCUGUUACACACUCUUAGGCUGCUACAGCAGUUUUCAGUUGAUGCUUAUGUCAAGAUUGAAACAUGUAGGCUUGACUUUCAUAGGCAUCGGCAAAACAAUAUACGUUCCGAAAUUCUGCAAGGGGUUCUUGACAGUGUUUCUGUUGGCCACACUGCUGCUUCUAAGGUUGGUCGUAAGGUCAUUCUUCCAGCUUCCUUUAUAGGUGGUCCGAGGGAUAUGAGGCGUCGUUACCUAGAUGCGAUGGCACUCGUACAGAAAUAUGGAAAACCAGACAUUUUUCUUACAAUGACGUGUAAUCCAGCAUGGAAAGAAAUUCAGGAAAAUUUGAAAUACCAUGAAAAACCUCAGGAUCGGCCAGACCUUCUCGCUAGAGUUUUUAGAGCCAAGUUUGAAAUGCUUAAAGCAGAAAUUCUGAAUAAGCAGAUCUUCGGCGAGGUUUCAGCAUGUGUUUACGUGAUUGAGUUUCAGAAACGCGGCUUUCCUCAUGCCCAUUUAUUAUUGAUCUUAAAACCUGGUCAUAAGCUGCUUAAUCCAGAGUCAUACGACAAAGUUGUUUGUGCUGAGUUGCCCGACAAAGAUAGAUAUCCUCACUUGUAUUCUCUUGUUGUGAAACAUAUGAUCCAUGGUCCUUGCGGAGCCAUGGAUACAUCUUGUCCUUGUAUGAGAGAUGGGACCUGCAAAAAUCGCUAUCCAAAGAGCUUUUGUUCUCAGACAACUCAUGGUGAGGAUACCUAUCCGUGUUAUAGGAGAAGAGAUGAUGGCAAAAGAGUGAAGGUUCGUAGAUUUACUCUUGAUAAUAGGUGGGUUGUGCCUUACAACCCUUACCUGCUUGCUUUAUUUGAUUGCCACAUCAAUGUCGAAAUUUGUUCUACUCUUAAGCUCGUGAAGUACUUGUAUAAGUAUGUUUUCAAAGGACACGAUCAAGUGAGCUUUAAGAUUAUUUCCUGUGCAUCAGCGGAUGCUAUUGAUGAAAUAAAAGACUUCCAGAAAGGUAGAUGGGUUUCACCUCCAGAAGCUUUUUGGCGCAUUUAUGAAUUUAAGCUGAGCGAAAUGACCCCUGCAGUUUACACCCUUCAGAUUCACCUUCCAGAUCAGCAAUUCAUUUCCUUUGACAAGAACUCUGACUUGCUGCAAUUGCUGAGUAAAAUUGACUUUUCAAAGACUAUGUUAACUCAGUUUUUUCGCAUGAACAAAACCAAUCCUAGAGCACAGAAUCUGAAAUGCUUGUACAGAAAUUUUCCUGAGCAUUUUGUUUGGUCUGGUAAAUAUAAAGAGUGGACUGAAAGAAAGCGUCGAAAGGUGAUUGGUCGCAUGGUCACUGUUAGUCCAAAGGAAGGAGAAAGAUAUUAUUUGCGGUUGCUAUUAACGCACAUUGCUGGCCCGACCUCUUUUGAAGACCUUUUGACUGUUAAUGCACAGAAAUUAGGUUCUUUUAGAGAAGCUGCUUUAGCUCUUGGCCUUCUACAAUCCGAUGCUUAUAUAGAGGAGACACUUCAGGAAGCGAAAUGCCAUCUUCAUUGAGGCUGUUGUUUGCCACUCUCCUUGUGUACUGUUCUCCAACAAAUCCUAAAUCGCUUUGGGAAAAAUUUGAACAUGACCUUUCUGCUGACUAUCAUCACCAGCAACCACUCCAUGGCUUUUCUUCAGCUGAAAUUAGACAGAAAGUUUUGCAAGCUAUUAACAGUUCACUUGAACAAAUGGGGAAAAACAUUACUGAUUUUCACUUUGUCUCUGACGAUUUUACAUGCAAUUAUACUGAACGAUUAACAAAGGAGAUUGAAAGUGAGAAAAGCUUAGCAGUGACACCUGAGGAUCUGCUUUUGCCUCAGAUGCUAAAUCCUGAGCAGAAACAUGCCUAUGAUCUAAUCCUAGCAGCAUGUUUUUCCUUAGAAGGCCAGGCUUUUUUUGUUGAUGGCCCCGGCGGCACCGGUAAAACGUUCCUGUAUCGGUCGCUUCUCGCGACCUUACGAUCACAGAACCAUAUUGCAAUUGCAGUGGCAACAUCUGGAAUUGCAGCAUCAAUCCUUCCUGGUGGAAGGACAGCUCACUCAAGAUUCAAGAUACCACUUGAUUUCCAGAAAGGUAAGAGUUGCCAGCUUAGUAAACAAAGUUCUGCUGCAAAACUCAUUUCAGAAUCUAAGCUUAUUUUGUGGGAUGAGGCUUCAAUGGCUAAACGGGACACAAUUGAAGCCUUCGACGAAUUGCUGAAGGAUUUAAUGGACUCAGAUUUACCUUUUGGAGGAAAGGUAAUAGUUUUUGGAGGAGAUUUUCGACAGACUCUUCCUGUGAUUGAACAAGCAACUAAACAAGUUCUCGUCCAGUCGACCUUUCCCAUGUCUCCUCUGUGGCCUAAACUGCAUAAAAUCCGACUCGUACAAAAUAUGCGAGCUAUGUUUGAUCCUGAAUUUUCACGAUUCCUUCUAAGAGUAGGAGAAGGAAGAGAACCUAUUGAUGAUGAGGGCGAAAUAACUUUAUCAUCAGAUAUAGUUAUUCCUUAUUACGAUAAAGAGAAAUCCUUAGACAGGUUAGAUGGGUACAUACAAUCAAAUUUAGUUUUUGUUUAGCAACUAUUCCUCCUGCUUCCCAUUAUCAAUGCAGCUUCUUUUACGCAGGUUACUAGAAAGUGUCUUUCCAGAUUUGAACACCUAUUCGCAAGAUCCUUAUAACCUAAUAAAUAGGUGCAUCCUUGCGCCUAAAAAUAGCUCAGUUGAUGAACUCAAUGAAAUAAUGAUUAGGAGAUUUCCUGGAAGCCUUCACACUUAUAUUAGCUCCGACAAGACUGUUGAUCAGCGGCACCAAGAUGACUACGAAGACUUCCUCAAUUCUCAAAAUCCUAAAGGUCUUCCUCCUCAUAAGUUGCUGUUGAAGGAAAACUGUCCACUGAUGCUUCUAAGAAAUCUAAAUCCAGCUGAAGGCCUUUGCAAUGGCACAAGGUUAAUAUGUAGGGAACUUGGCCAGCACACAAUUUCUGCUGAAAUUGUUUUUGGCCAUCAUCGAGGAAAAAGAGUUUUCGUUCCAAGGAUACCUCUUCAAACGCCCGACAAUGACAAGAAUGGGAUUCCAUUCAUAAGAACACAAUUUCCUGUCCGCCUUUGCUUCGCUUUAACUAUCAAUAAAUCGCAGGGCCAAACUCUUGACUACGUCGGCAUCUAUCUACGGGAACCAGUUUUUUCUCAUGGCCAGCUGUAUGUUGCUCUGUCCAGAGCUAAAACCGCUGCCAAAGUUAAAGUUCUUCUUGUUCCUGGAACAUUUGAUGACACAAAAGUAGAUUGCAAAACUCGAAAUGUUGUCUUUGAUGAAAUUUUUAGAUUAGCUCAAGCCUAAGCAAUUUUCUGCUUGACUUAUCCUAAAGUAAGCUCGUCAUACAUAUUUUUCAAAUAUGGUUUACUGUGUUUUUUUUAUCUUUUAGUUCCUGUUCAUAUAUCCAUCGACUUGUGUUUUUGUAGGAUGGCUAACUUGCUGCCAAUGCGAGAUAUCAUACCUCACAUGAAAAAUUGGAGCUGCAUCGUCACUGUUCAGGAAAAGCAACAGAUCACAAGCUCAAUGGGAACGCCAACAAGAAAGCAGAAAUUUGUUUUCUACGAUUCAGAGGUUAGUUGAAGCCACUGCUCAAGUUUAGAUUCUAGCAUUUAAGUCAGCUAUUGUUUUGAUUUCUUUAUGCAGCAUUAACUUCACCUCUUUACGUAGGGAUCAAGAGUCGAAGGAAUCAUCUUCAAUGAUGACAUUCCUAGAAUGAGCAGCAUUUUGCAGGUCUAUAAAAAAUAUAAAAUAUCCAAUGCUGAGGUCAGAACCAUACCACCAAAGUUCCAGACAUCUGAGCUCACCGUUCAAUGGGUUAUCAGCACCAAGACUGUCAUUGAUGAAAUUGCUGAUGAUGAUGAAGUCAUGCCUGUAAAAUUCUGCUAUUCAAAGUUUACUGACUUAGUUCAAUACAUGGAUGACAGAACUAAAUCAGUCGGUAAGCCUUUCAAUGCUUUGCUCUUAAUAUGUUUACGUUCUGGCCAAAGUUUUCAUAAUCCCAUUCUCUGUAUUGUUCAUAGACGUGCUGGGAGUUGUGAUUAGUGCGCUUGAGAAGAAAACUGUUACCAAAAACUCAAAGCAAUCAGAUGUUCAGAAAUUUGUCCUUCUUAAUGAACAGCGAGAGCUUCAAUUCUCAGUUUAUGCAAAACUUCCCACUACCUUUAUUUCUUUUUCUCUACAACCAUUUUUUUCAGUUUGUAACUGUUAACUCUUAUCACGAGCACAGAUCACAGACGGUGCUCCUGUCUCUAUGGGAUAGUUUUCUGGAUAAUGAAGGACAGGAAAUAUUAUCUAAACUUCACAGCUAUCCUGUCAUCAUUGCUCGCAGAGUUAGAGUGAACAACUAUAAUGGUCUGUUCCAGUUUUAGCUUUUAACGUUUUUACUCUUUAGCUUUUUCUUCCUGCCUGCAACGCCUGUAAAGAAAUGUGUACUUUACUUUCGCCAUACAGGAGUCGCACUUGGUACUUGGUUUGAUUCAGCGAUUCUUGUUGAUCCACCUGUACAAGAGGCAAGAGAACUCAAGAACUGGUGCGAUAUAUUUUGAAUCACCGACCUCUAUACAGUUUAGCUCCAAAUUCUGUCCACACUUUCAGUCUUAAUACUUUUUAUGUCUCCUUUCACCCAGGGCAUUGAGGAACACUAAGUUGCUUAAAGAAGCUGCCGAAAAAAAGGACUAUAUUAAAUAUAAUCCACAGCUGUCAUUAAAAGCAGAUCAGAAAACUACCUGGAUUUGUAACAUAACUUCGUCACAAAAGGUUUGGGACUCGAACAUGUUACCUGUUUUCAUUCUCUUUUCAUGUGCACUCGUCUUUUUGUACUCAUGCUUGCUCGUCUUUAAGACUAUAUGGGUGAAGGCACAGUUCUCUUUUGAGCAUAUCUUCCAGAAAUAUUGGUACAUGAGCUGUAAGAACUGUUGCCGAGCCACAGCAGCAGCCUAUCAAGUUGAGUUUACCUGUAACUCGUGCAAAGAAAAACAUCCUGCAGUACCUAGGUGCUAAAAAAAUACACUUGCAAUAUAUUGGUUUGUAUUUGCUGCUAUCUAAUGCUGUUUCAGAUAAAAAAAUAUGAAUUCCUGCAUAUUGUGUCCCUAUUUUUAGAUGCCGCUUUGAUGUUGAUUUGAUCGAUAGCACCGGCGUGAUACCAGCUUCAAUAUUUGGCGAAUUAGCAGAGAACUUACUGACGUUUAAUGCACUGGAAGCAAUGCAACAUUUUAAUGAGGUUCUUGCUCCCUAAAUCUUGAUGAUCAGGGUAUUCUAUACUUUUUAUUCUCACUUUUCAUUCCCUUAACAGAAUGUUGCACUUCCCCUAGAGUUUGUCCACAAGGAGCUCAGUUCAAAGACGUUUCUGCUUCACAUCAAACCUGUGCAAGCGCAACUGGCAGACGCAAGGCAGCGCUACACAAUUAUAUACUACUCUGAAGUCAAUGCUGGUGCCGAUUCUGCGCAGUUAACAAGUGAAGCAGAGGAUGCCCCUCCUUUUCCUAGCACAGAAUCUGACACUAUACAGCUCGGGGCUCCAGGUAACUCACAAGCACUACACAGUUUAGCUUCCAGCAUUUAUAUUUUACUUCAACUGAAUCAUGUGACAUAUCAAACAAAUAUGGUCGCAGGAGAGAGUAGCGCUCGUUCAAAAGUUUGUGUUCGCCUUUCUAAAAGGUUUGAUGAACCACAGAGCACUGAAGCUGAGGAAGAUGAAAAUGCAGAAUGCAGCUCUAGCAAAAAACAAAGACUCAAUUGACUGUUUCUUUUGCCCCUUUUGUCGACCAAAUCUCUGCUUUCUAUGCCUCCCAUGCUAUCCUAUAUUUUUGCAAAGUUGCUUUUGUGUUCCUCAAAGAGUCAUUGAUGUAUUAGUUAAACCUGUCUUUUGUUCAUGAAUGCCCCUUAAACUGCUUUUGAUGUUAAACCUUUUACGUUAGCUGAUAAUCUGCAAUCAGCACCAGCUAUGUAUUUUGAAUAGAUGUUUUACAGCUGUUAUGUACUGGUCACAGGGUCCUUUGAAUUCACCUUCUGCUCUAUUUAGCUUAUUAACUGACCUUGUGGUGAAUGUACUAUCUGUUAUUCGCCAGCUUUUACUGAAUGCUUUUAUCAAAGCUAUUCAAAUUUUCUCCUUCACAUAAAUCUCCUAUUAAAUAUCGCACCUACUAUUGUUAGCUCCACUCACUCUGCUCAGCAUCUCAGACUUAGUAUAUCUAUUAGCCUUAGAUUGUGUAGUUGUGCAGACUUCGGUUCUUUUACAGAAACUCUACUUUUUUCGUCACCAUAACUGUGUUAUACAAUAGAUAUUACCCUGCUCUGCAUUCACUUCUUAGCUGUAACCUUACCAGUCACUUCUUUUAAUAUUAACCUGUUCUACUUCUUUGAUGUGACGAAGCAUUAAAGCACUCAGCUCUGAGAAGAACUAAAGCAAGCCUGACCAUAAACAAAUUUACUAAAAAACUCUUUUACCCAUUCAUUGUUUAUAUAUAGCUGCCUCUUGAAUGGCUCAUACAUCCGAAGCAAAACACUUCAAGUUAACCUUUCUACUUGCUUCCCUCAGAUUAUCCCUAAGGUUCACUUGUUCCCUUUGCCUUCAUAUGACUGCAUCUUUCCCACUUUUUUAAAAUUAGCUUCCCCGGUCACAUCAAUGGCAGAAGGUCCAUCUACCUAUGGACUAACAAAUAGUAGCUCAAUGGCCUGUUGUUUUCUACUGAAAUGCAAUCAUAGAGGAGAGGUCUAAUUUUCUUCUAUGCAAUAGAAAUUACUUGUUAGCAAUGUGCAGUGUAGAUAUAUAUGUUCAUUUGACAUUUCCUAUUUUUAUCUCCUAAAAUGCAGAUUCUACCUGCUCAAUUCAAGGUAUUACUUACCCAGCACCAGCAUAAUACAAUUAUUCUCAAGCACGGAACUUAUAAAUGGCCUGUUGUAGUCGGUGAUCGUUCAUUUCAAGAAGGCUGGGAUGAAUAUUACCAAGAAAAUAUUGCAAACAAACAUGAUAUGUUGCUUCUACGACAUGCUGGCAAUCUCAUCUUUGAUGUCAUACACUUUUCCGAGCUACAAAAAUAGGUUUACCUAUCUUGGACAGUCCCAUUACCAAAUUUAUUGCAGCCUGUUGGUGCUCAUGCACAAGGUCAGUUUAUACUAACCUUUAUAUCAUGCAGUUAGUUGUAGUAAAAUCUUCUCUAAUUCAUUAUCUGCUAAAUAACUUCAGAUAGUGCCGCUUCUAUAAAAAUUCAGCAGUUAGUUGCUUCAUCAAUAAACCCAGAUUUAAACCAGAAUCUCGUUGAUUCAGUUUGCUUCUAUCAAACCUUCAAUACAGCAACCCCAAACACAUUGGUAAUCUAUCCAUACACUGUUUCUUUUUCCAUCUCUUACUGCAUUACUUUGAACAAAAAAUAUAUAUUAUGUUCUCGCAUCUGACUUUCAUUCCUUUUGUAUCAGAAAAUUCCAAGAUUCGUCGAUCGCUUUAUUAAUGAACAAAGAACUCCAACACUUCUUAUUAGGACUGGAGAGAUAAUUACAUCAAUAGGUGUAAAAGGGAAAAAGCUAAAAACAAAUUGGAGAAGCUUCGUUCUUCAACAUCAGUUACAGCACAAUGAAGUCCUUGUCUUCAUUCCAGAAUCAUCAACUACCUUCACGCUUGUAGUCUUUGACGAUAAUGGAGUCGAGAGAGUCUUUCCAUGGUCUUGCACCUUCAAAAUUUAUUCUAAUUGUCCUACUUGUACCUAACUUCUGCACUAUGUUUUCUCUGUAACCGAAGUUCCCUGUUACCUUCAACCUCUCCAUCGCAUAUGUUUCAGUUUUUUAUUUCGUUGAACCGCAUUCUUCAUUCCUCCUAAAUAUAACUGCAUUGCAAUGAAAUUAAACAUGUAGCAAAUAUAUUAUGAAUGCCUAACAUCUAUUAUCAGCUUCAAUUUUAUUCACCAAAAAUGUUUUCUUUUCAAUCUUUUCCUUGAUGCCGUGUUGAAUGCAAACCUUUAUUUACUCGCAUUUUCCUGCAACCUGGCUUAUUUAAAAAUUUAAUCAUUUCAUAGCCAAAGAACUUAAAUAUACCUCAUGCGGUUUGUGAUAUCUUCACUUGAAAAUUGGGCAUUUUCUGGGCAGCAUGGAACCAACACCGCGCAUCGCGCGGUGAACCCCUCCUAGUUUAUUUAAAGAAUGUAUAUAAAGUGGGAAUGGAGAUUGCCAAAACAUGGUCGUCCUCCCAUGUGCAGUGCACAUGCAUAUUUUGUAAGAAUUUGGUUUUUUUAGGUAAAAUUCUUUUGUGUCUUGGAACUCAAAGGGAAAAAAAUAUAUAAAAAAGCUCUUUUUUGUGUCUUGGAACCCAAAAGAAAUCAAGUAUGUCUAUAUGAAAAGCAUAAAAAAGGAACGAUGCUUUAGCUUUAAGGGGCCCGAGGCAAAAGCCUCGUUUUAUUCACCUCCUUCACGUCUGAUAGGUUGCAAUUUUAUCAUUUAUUUUAUUAUUAAUUUUCCCUAUUACCUGACCUAAUGUGGAUUAAUUGCUAGAUUCUACUCACUUUUGAUAUUUUGCAUUUAUUUCAGGGAGUAGAACGAAAAUAUAAUAACAGGUGCUAAUUUGGCAAGAAAAGAGUUCAGAUGAUAGAGUUUGUCCUAGGGGCAUUUUUGGAACAACAAAACAUGAGCCCUUGUUGGGCAAAUUGGGCCGAAGUCUUCAUUUUCCCGCACAGGAGCCGCCGCAAGGGCACUACUUUAUAUAGAAAACUUGCGCAGGAAAAGAGGGAGCUGCUUCCUCUCUGGAAGGGGGCCGCCGCACAAGGCCAGACAGUAGCAAUAGGCCAUUAGGAUAGGAACUAUUAGAUUGCAGAGAACAAGCACUAUCUUUUUCUAGCUUCACUUUGACUUUUCUUCCUAGCUUUUCAUUGCUUUUCUCCACGCAUGUCAGGAGGAAGCAAUUCUUAGUUUUAGCUUGUGACUUUUCCUUUUUCGUCUUUUAGUGGUUUGCUUCCUGCGGAUGUCCAGACCGAAGGAAAACUAUGAAGUACCUUUUGUAGCUUUCUUUCUUUAUUGAAUAGACGAAUUGAAUUCGCCCAACUUCCGAAUUGAUGGCCGCAGCUUUUGCUUCAAUUUCUUGUGGAUUUUGUUCAUCAACUAUGAACUAAUUUCCUCACCCUAGUCAAGGGACAACGGAUGCUUUGGGUCGCCUAAAAUUGUGAGAUCGAUUUAAUUUUAUCUUUUUCUUUUAUUUAUUGGUAUUCGCAUAUUUUCUGAUUACAGUGCUUAUGAUUGUUUAAUUAAUUGGUUGUCUUGGAUCCGGAUAAUUAGUUAAUUUGAUAAUCUAUUAUCAAUUGGGACGUUAAAUCCGUAAUUGUUUAAUUGUCUCAAAAUAGUGAUAACUGGCAUGAUUGGGUUUGUGUCAGGGGAAUACGCGGGCUAAUCUAAAAUAACCCUGGUAGUGCGUUAUUUGGUUAGAAUAGGGCUCCUCUAAUACAUAAGGCAAUUGGGGAAUUAAAUCUUACGGGCGUACCUAGGAUUAUUUCUCAAUUAGAGCAGUGAUUAACGGGCGUACCUUAAUCACCGACACAGUAAGGAGGGGUUGACUGCCAUCGCUUGUUUGGUAGUUAUAACCUAUUUAUUGAUGAAUAAUUGGAAUUGCCUUUGCUUAUCGAUGAUCAAUUAGGUGAACCAUUGUUGAAAUUAUUUCUUGGCUAGAUCCUUAAUUACCACUUAUUAGAUUUUAGUAAAUUGUUAUUUAAUUUCUAGUUGGCUAUUUUAUUUUUAUCAUUUUAUUUUUAGUUGGAUUGGUUAAAUUGUCACUCCUGAUAUAAAACACCCUCUUUGUCACUGUGAACUUGAAAAGAAACAAUUACUCCCAGUCCCUGUGGAUUCGACCCUGCUCACCACUAUCUACAGAAAUUAUUUUUAGUUUGAGCAAGUAUUUAUGAUUGCACAGGCUUCGACAACCUGUCAACACCUCUCCAUUUUUCCCUCUCUAAAAACCCCAGACAAUUGUUAUGACCCACUGCCAUGAUCAUCAUCUCUAAGGAUCCUUUGCAACGGUUUCCUUUUGGAAUUAGUUUACUUGGAGAAUUAACGAAAGCGAGUGGAACUGGUGGAAUGUGUCAGCAGUGGUCUCAGCAAAUUAAUACAGUCCGGAUUUGGGUAUUGCUGUACUUAUUAACUUGGUGGCACGUGGGAUUGAUGUGAUUGUUUUGGCAAGCUUAUAGUGGUUAUGGCGAAAAGGUUUGAAGGUAAAUCCUGCCUAGAGCCGGUGAAAAUGGAGGCAACUACGGCAACAGUACCAAUGGCUCAAUUGUGUUAUUUAGAAUGAUCCAUUGAACGUUACAGGGCAAGUUAAUUCAGAUGGGAAUGAUUUGUCACUCUUGCUACAUUUGAUUCACAUGUAUUUAGAUUAGAUUAGCUUCUUGUUUUUUUUUUUUUUUUUUAACUUUCUCAGAGUUGAGCGAGGGUAAAAAGCAAUUGUAACGGAGCAAGCAUGAGUUUUGCUCAAUUUCCAAAGAUUGUGGCCAACUUGCAAGUAGGAUAGACUGAUCAGCUUGCCAGUGUAAAAUUAGUUGUCAUGUUAGCUACUAUUUAAGUUAAGGAUAAAUGAUGCUUUUCUUAUCAAGAUAGAUAAAAUAAAGUUUAGAAUUAUUUGCUUUAGACAAGUUUCAUUCUUGUUAAUCGUUUGCCUAUACCACCAUUUACCCAUUUGUUGGCUUCCAGGUUGCAUCCAUCUUUUGCUAAGAUGCUUCAUUAUAGUACCGCUUCAUUCUUUCCGAACGCCUAAAACAUGUAUGCAAUUUAUUUUCAACUACUGAAUUAUACUAUUAAAAAGUAUUCUCCUUAAGAAAUUAACAACUAAUUAAGCACAAUUUUUUAUCAUUAUUAACUUUUAAUGGGCAUAUUCAAAAAUAUUUUUCCACCGUGCGCAAGCACGGUCAUAUUUUGCUAGUUUAAAUGUAAUUAAAGGCAAGGGGAUUGCCGCUUAAGCUACUCAAUCACAACAUGUACUAGUAAUAAGCAUUUAGCUGUACAUGUCUUUCGAGGUGGACAUAAGGUGUAAACUAUUUAGCCAAACCUGCUUUUUUUUUUAUUUAAUAUUUUCAGGUUCAUUCAUUUAAGAUACGUUUGACAAAAUUGAAAUUUCAAAUCUGACGUUUGAAAACCGACAUCUGAAUCCGUUAAAUUAUUAAAUUAUAAAUACUGAAAUCAUAAUAUUUGAGCUUAUUUUGCAUUAAAUGAAAUCCAACAUAAUUUGGAACCAUUUAAUUAAUUAAAAUGCUCAAUUUCUUGUUAUCAAACAUGUCUAGAAAUGUUAAAGAUCUGAAUAUAUUAAGCAAGUUUAAGUGCUGAAGUGAGUUAUCAAAUAGGGUUUUAUUUUGAUCUGCUACUUUUUUUUUUCCGGAGACGACAAUUGUAGUAUAUCCUAAUCUAUUCUACACUAGGGGGAGGGGGUGGAUCUAACGAGGUCCAGGGAUAAUCCGGAAAGGACUGAACUACCACCGGACCAAAUGGGUGCACUACGUACUCGUCUGGGUUUUUUGAAACAAAUCCACAUUUAAUUGUGGUGAUUGGUGGGAUGGUGGCCACAAGCCCAAAGGCUGAUGGUUCCUUAAUUUCGGAGUUCUGAUGGCAUCCGCUGCAUCAGUGCUGGUAUGAUCGCAACCAAGAAGGAAGAUUUGCUACUCACUAUUAUUGUUCCCAAUGUCUGGUACGAAUGAACGAAAAAUCGGACCUCGAUAUGGAAGGAAAAUCGAGAACAGCACAACUAGCAAUUCAUGUCAAUAGCAAUCACAUGGUGUGCUUAACUCUAAUCGAUAUGGCACAAACAUAAAAAGUAGUCUUGUCUUUCCGGAGGAAGUCCAGGAUCCAAAAUAUAUAGAAGGGAAAGGUGGGGGGAUGUAGGAGGAAUGAAAAUUUUGUGCAAAGAGAGGGAGAUGGAGAGGGCCUAGUCCUUGGAUAAACACCAAAGCCGCGAAGAGGAAGGGAGGAGAAGUGAAGAAAGAGGAAAGACAUUUGUAGAGGGUGUAAAUGAGUCUAAUAAAAUCAAAUGUCAUAGUAUUUAAACUUGUUUAGUUAUUUUAACGAGUUUGAAAUUUUAUUAAAAUUUAAAUAAUUUAUUUGUCAAAUCGAAAUUAAAUAAUUUUUUUCAACGAAUAUAAAAUAUUAUUCAAUUUUAAAUUAAUUAAUUGAUGAAUCAAAAUUGAAUGAACUUUUAUCAAAUAAAACUCGAUUCGAAUAUUGAAUAGUUUGACUCCUCUUCCAAUCCUAUACAUUUGUUUGGCACUUCGGAUGGUGGUGAGUGAAAAAGGCUUUUUUUUUCUCAGGCCUAUGGCCGUAGAUAUAGGAGAGAGAAGGAAACGGCAGCGGCGAUACAGUGAUAAGGGAAAGGCUACUAGGGUUUGAUUUGAAGCAGGAGGUCAAACCCAGACGACAACUAAUGAAACGCCACUGGAUUUGUUGAAAUUUACAGCAUAACUGCUUUCAUGAAAAUGCAACUGAAGUUGCUCGAAAUUACGUUAGGCAACUCAUACUUUAGUGUAGUGAAAAUAUGAUAUGAUUUGAGGUACAAAAUUCAAAAGGACAAACCACUCUUACCGCAAAAUUCAAUCGGAUUACUCUUACAGACCACUAUACUUUUUCUUAUAACCUAAAUGACAAACUGUAGGCACACAAGAAGUAGAACUGCAGAAGAAGAACCAAAGAGAGUAAAAGUCAAUCAGGUAAUGAUGUUCAAUCCUAUGUCAGUCAUGUUUCCUAAUUCUUCUGAUUGUUGCUAGCAUUUGACAUUGACUCACUGCUUGUUCAGAAGUAUAAAGUGCAAUUUUUGUACUUUCAUAUGCAAGUUCCCCCCCCCCUCCUCCCCCUUUCUUUCUUGAGGAUACCAACUAGACAGCAGAAAAAAUUACACAUAUACCUUUAAACCUUGGUGUUGCUGAAUUGUCAGAUGAUAUAUAUAUAUAUAUAUAUAUAUAUAUAUAUAUAUAUAUAUUUGAAAAUGGAUGCUCAAAUGCCUGAGAGUUGAAUCAGAUGAUGAAUUUGAUUUUUGCGCUAUAAAAUGGUAAAAUCGUGCAAACCACGAAUGCAAGGUUGCCAUGCACAUUUUGAUAGACCUAUUUUGAGCUGACACUAGCUUAUAGAAGCCUCUAAAACUCGACAAUCCUUUAGAGGAUCCUGAAUUUGGAUGUUAACCACUUCCGUUUACCCCAGACCUUCAUAAUGGAGUUAGUCCGUUUUGAAGUAUUUACAGAUGCUUCUACAUGAUUGAAGGUUUUGGAUGAUAACAGACAACUAAAGUCCAGAAAGGCUUGAAGAAAAAUACUGCUAGAAAUCUCAUUGUGGAUGUGUAGGAAAACUUUUGGUUUGUAUUGACACAAUUUACGGUGUAAUAAGGUCUUUAGGUCAAUCAUUUAUGUUGUGUGCCUGGCGCUCCAUUUGAUACCCUCAUUUUAAAGACAAUGCAUCCAUGUUUCUGUUAGAAGUCUCAAAUGGGGUGGGGUUCUUAUACAGAUUUUCACCUUUUUUCACCUGUUGUUCUUGAGAAAUUUUGUAUAUGACGAAAGCCUAAUCCAUCUUGUGCCAUCGUCUAUGUCUUUGAUGCUGGAAUUUGUCCUUGCUUCCUGUCCAGUUUCUCUUCUUUACAGCUGGAUUGCUAUUGUGAAUAAAGAGAGGAAAGGAGAGGAAAGAACAAAAAAGUUGCAUGGCCUUCCCCAUUCCAGACAGAGUAAAGAGGCUAUGGGAUGAGUGGAAUCUUCGUGCUGCUGUUCUCAUCAGUCUUUUUUUCCAAGUGGUGUUAAUAUGCUGUGCGGCAUCACGUAAAAGAACAGGAAACAUGACAGUGACUGCUACCAUCUGGUUAUUUUAUCUGCUUGCUGAUUGGUUUGCAGCUUUUGCUGUUGGACUCAUCUCCAACGGUCAAAGUAAUAAUUGUCCUGAGAGAUUUGCAGUAAAUCAAGACCUUGCAGCAUUUUGGGCUCCAUUUCUAUUGCCACAUCUUGGUGGCCCUGAUAAUAUUACCGCCAUCUCGCUUAAAGACAAUGAGCUGUGGAUUAGGCAUCUGCUUGGGCUUAUCACUCAGUUUUCUGCUGUUGCUUAUGUUUUUUCACAAUCCCUGCGUAACGUAUUCUAUGUCCCCACAAUACUCUUGAUUUUUUCUGGAACUAUUAAAUAUGCUGAGCGAACACGGGCUUUAUAUUUAGCUUGUUUGGGUAAUAUUAAGGAUUCUAUGCUUCCACUGCCAGAUGCUGGACCAAACUAUGCAGCUUAUGGUGGAGUACUCAUCUAAGGAAGCUGCUCAAGUUCCAGUUGAGAUAGAGAUAGUGAAGGAACAUGACAGAGGCACUCAGACUUCUGCAAAUCCAGAAGAAGAGAAUUUGAGUCCUGAAGACAUCAGUGAUAUAGAUAUUGUGCAAAAUGGGUAUGAAUUGUUUACCACUUUUAGGGGCCUGAUUGUUGACCAUAUGUUUAGCUUUCAUGAGCGCAGUAAGAACAGAAAAUUUUUCUUCCAAAGGUCUGCAUUUGAUGCUUUCAGAGUAAUGGAGGUGGAGCUCAAUUUCAUAUAUGAUACUCUCUACACUAAGAUGGCUGUGGUACACAGUAAAAAAGGUUAUUGUCUUCGAUUGAUCUGCUCUAUACUUAUAGUGCUUUCUUUUGAGAGAUUUGCAUCACAUCAUAAACCCGAUAUUAACCAUUUUGAUGUUGCUACUACCUACAUUUUGCUUUCGGGUGCUGUUCUCUUGAAUUUUGUAGCCUUUACUAAGCUCAUUUUCUCAGACUGGACCAUAGUCAAGCUUAAGAAUCUCACAGUCAAAACAACUGUAUAUGCAGUCCGUGAAAAGCUGUCAUGUUCCAAAAGGUGGUCUAAUACCCUUUGGCAAUGUAACUUGAUAAACUUUUGUGUGAAUCAGCGUUGGAGAUGGUUAGAUAUUGCAGCUGAAACCGUUGGAAUCAAGGAUGUUCUUGAUGAAAUGUACUACAAGGAGGACAUUGUCAUUCCAGAGGACUUAAAGGAUUUCAUCUUUAUUGAGCUCAAGGUUAAAGCUACCAAAGCAAAAACCACAAAUGUUGCUAAAGAGAUAUACUCAGCAAGAGGUGAUUUGGUACUGUUGGAUUACACCAAUCACUACCCAUAUCCCAUCAUUUCAUCAAGUGUAGGUGACGAAGUUGAAUACGAUGAGAGCCUGUUGCUGUGGCAUAUUGCCACUGAGCUAUGCUAUUGCACGAGUCCUGAUGAUGGCAAUUCCAAUCGCAAUUAUUGUAAGCUUAUAUCUGAUUAUAUGUUGUAUCUUUUGGUUAUGAGGCCUAAUUUGAUGUCUGCAGUUUCUGGCAUUGGACAAAUUCAAUUUCGGGACACAUGUGAAGAAGCUAAGAUGUUCUUCAGCAGGUGGAAAUCAGAACUAAUUAUAAGAACCCCAGACUUGGGAAUUUGCAGAAAAUUAAUCACCUGCUGCAUAGCCCAGAAUGGAUUAACUGGAAGAGAAUCAAGUUCAGCAAAUCGAAAAAGAAAUGCAUGCGAAAAGCUACUUAAUGUAAAUGCUCUUGUUAAAGCCAUUGAGGUGAAGGGAGAUAGAAGCAAAUCAAUAUUGUUCGAUGCCUGUAGGCUUGCAAAGGAUUUGAAAAAGUUGAAUGAUAAGAAAAGGUGGGAGAUAAUGAGUAAAGUGUGGGUGGAACUGUUGUCCUAUGCUGCCAGUCACUGCCGAGCAAAUGCUCAUGCUCAGCAGCUCAGUAAAGGUGGUGAGCUCAUUACUUUUGUCUGGAUACUGAUGGCUCAUUUUGGAUUGGGAGAGCAAUUCCGAAUUGAGGCGGGACAUGCAAGAGCAAAACUGAUUGUCGGAAAAUAGCAACUAAGAGUGACCAUUUUCAUUCUAGCUGUAAAAUGAAAGAGUCCUCCAACUUGGAUGUACUCCUUGACUUAGGUGAGAUUUGUGCGUUGCAAAAGACUUCCCUUAUCCCUUUUUUUCUUUUGAGUUUCAAUUUCCGAGCCACAAUUCACACUAGUGCUUUUUAUAAGAUGUGCUGAUUUAUCUUAUGUUUCCUGUGGCUUUGGUAUCACGUGAGCAUUAUGUGAAGUUUUUUCAUAUGUCAUUCACACACAUUAGGAUGUGUGUUCCAAUAUGUUGCCUGUGCUUUUCUUUCUCUGUUUGAAAUACGAAAAUACUUUUAUGACAAAAACAUGAAAAGCUGGAUUACCAAUAUUUCAUGGGGAGAAGGAAUUGCUGACUGAAUCUCAUCUCUCCAACCAAAUAACUUGUGAAAGGCAUAACAGGUGUAAGUAGUACAGUAGUAUCCGUCUUGUGAAACACAGUCACCUCAGUUCAUCUUCCUCAUUUGAUACUGAUACUGACAUCUUUUGUAGAACUUAAAACUUACACUUUUCCUCUUUUAGCGAAUCAACAAUCAGUUAUUCCAUUUUUCCGAACGAAUAUUCACAUCAUUUGAGCUGAUUUCAUCGCUUUUCUCAGCUCCAUGUUAGCUAAGGACGGAGGUAAAAUAGAAUUCAACUGAGGAGGUUCUCUUAUAAAACAAAGAAUAAACAAAAUGAAGUUUCUAAUUCUUAUAAUCUUAUUAUGAUUAUCAUUAUUUUGUUUUUUCGGUUUUUCGGUUUCGACCCUUUCUUUAGUGAGUGCAGACUGCAGACCAUAAUACACGUCAAGGCAACUGCAAUGCUAGUGGUAAAAAGUAAGAUAAUGUUAUUUUUCCAGGCCAAACCAUUUUUUUUAACCUCCCACCCUUCCCACUCCCAAUUGUUGAGUCCAAUAUUUGAACCCUCAACCAAAUAGCGGGGGAAGUCCCUGACUACUUGGCCAACUUAGAUUCUUCUGUCUGAGAAAACAAGUUUCAUCGGCUAAAAGACUCGCAUCUGAAAAGUGUAACAUGUUGUUUUCAUAGGUAUCACGAACUAUGUCUUCUGGAAUUGUGCAGAUGUCAAAAUGUCAAUUCUUUUGGGCUGAAGAAACAAAUGACCAUUUCUUGUCUUCCAGCAUCAUGAUUUACACAUUUGCGAUUUUUUCCCUCUUCUAGUAGUGCAGGAUCUAGUUUGACAUUGACUGAUGGCGAUUGUACUAUGAUGCAUUGACAGCAAAGGGGGGAGGUGGUGCGUGUCAUUUCCAGCAGAAUUUGCUGGGAUGAUAUUAAAUGUGCAUAUAAGACCAGGCGAAUAUCAACCCUCCUUUUACUAUGUUAGGCUGCCUGAUUUAUGCUAUCUGUUCAUUUACCAUUGACCAAGCGCGGCUCCAUGGUAGACGAACGGUUUAUUUUCAUCAAUGGUGUGCCAUUGUCAUGUUCUCAAUUUGCUCCAUCAGAUUGCCUAUUGCUUGUCUCGCUUGCGACAUGGAUUUUUUCAUAUGUUUGUCAAAACUUUUUAGAUAUAAGUCAUAUAACUAAACUUUUUCGCUAAUGCCCAAAUCCAACUUUUUCGCUGUUGAUUUUGUUUUCCUUUUUGGGUAUAACAGGUAGGCAUCCAAUCUUAUGGUUAAAGAGCAUAUAAGACCCACACGAAUGGAUAGGCAUGAUGAUUAGUAACUGGAGCCAUGAGUGGCUAUAACAAUUCAAUUUAGUUCUUCUGCGUACUCUUUUUGUUGACUAAUAUAUUUGCAAGAUCCAGAAAGGUGUAUUUGUGGAGAAUGGGCUGGGACGGUUGUCAGGUGCCACCGUCCCAAAUGAUGUAUGGGAAAGAUUUUCUCAACAAGGCAAAUUUUGAUAAUGUGCAGCCAAAAGCAAGUCACAUAACUUUGAAAUUACAAACAUAUAUGGAUCUACACGAAUAUUAAUUAGAUACAAUGUCAUUGUUUCAAAAUUGAAUAAGUAAUUUACAUUGAGUUACAUUUUGUUUAGAAAGUGUUGUACAACUUAGGCAAGUUAAGAACUGAAAAUCUUUUAAACUUACAUUUUGUUUAUCCGUUCUUCUUUCAACUUACAUUCAGCUGUAAUGGCUGAAUUUAAAGUGGAAGCGAUGCCUCUACUUCAACUUCAACAAUGUUGGAAACAGUUAUUGUCGUUAGCUACCUCAACUCCACACCAUUUAUACAUAAUGUGCUUGCUGUGUAUUCCAGGCUGGGAUUUGGACACAUUGCAGUGUUGGAUUGUGGUGGGGUUUAUUACCAAAUCAAUGGAUUAAAUCCUUUAUAUAAAGGAGGCAAACGAACAAUUUUAUUACACUCAAAAUAUAUUUAAUAACAACACACAAAAUAAAUUUAUAUUGGACACUAAUAAUUGAGCCUCACUCUUGAGAAUAGUUGCUCUAAUAUAUCAGUGCCUCACUCUUGAGAUAUCUGCUCAAACACUCACUCAACAAUUGAACUCGUUCAUUUCCUAUCUUUCACUUGAGCUUUGGUGCCCUUCAACUGAGGAAAUGGCAUUUAUUUAUACUAGUAAGGAUCCUACAAGCGGCUGUAAUUUUUCUCUUCUCAUUCAAUGCCCAAUUGCUAGAAAAUCCGGUGAACUUCGCGAGUAAAUCUGGUUCAAGAUACAAGCACGAACCAAGUUGAUCAGCCGCCCACGUACAGCUUCAAGACUGGACUUUGGCAAUUUGUCUAUUGCCAAUAAAUGAGUAAAACAAACACUCCAAAGCCAUAAAAUUUAUUCUGAACACCCUAACUAAAGGUUCAUCACUUUUUAGCACAAACAACAUUUUCAAAAAGCAUAUUAAUUAAUAAACCUCAAUGAUAGAUCUCAAUCCCAAUACUGCCGUUAUCUUAUAGUCACUGAAGCCUGCCUCCGUGAAAAGUUUCGCCCAAUCUUUCUCAUUUCUUUGCCUUCCUUUGAGUAGAACCAUCACUGCCAUAUCAAAGAACAGUUGGGUCUCAAUCGCCUCAUGAUCAUCUUCCCCUUUCUGCAGACUUUUGCAGAACAUUUCAACAAUUAUCACUUUGCCUCCUUUUUCCUUGCUAGGAAUUGCUUCUUUACAUUUUUUUAGUAUUUGUACACACUCAUCAUCGCUCCAAUCAAUCAAUAUCCACUGCUUGAUUGCAAAACCAAUCAAUUUUUUUGUUAGAAACAUUACAACCCAUUUAAAGCUUUUUGCGUCAAAAAGCAAAAACAAAACUAUUCUCUUAUAGUACCAAACACACGCAAUCAAUUUGACGUUUAAAACUUUGUUCUUUUUUUUCCCCUCUUCAUGAUGCAGUUCUUAGAUUAAGCAUAACCUCAAUUUCUACUACUCAAUCUUACUUUUGAAAUUGACACUUCUUAUAAUUGGUGAAUUUUAAUCUUAUGAUCUCAGGCAAUAAGGAUAAAAAUCUAAAUAACACUACUAUAAAAAAAAUUUGUCAACUAGAAAACGUGCAACAUCGAUUUCAUACCUUCAUUAAAACAGCAUCUGCAGGAGGAAUGGCUUCAAACUUGUUACCUCCAACAUAGGCCAAGUUCUUACUACUCUCCAAGCCAUCAACAACAUGAGGAAGAUCAAACACAGUGCAUUUCAGGCGAGGGAAAGCAUCAGCAAUUGCCUUAGCAAAGGUUCCAGUUCCACCUCCAACAUCUACCAAUGAAUUCAAACCCUCAAAAACAUGCUUACAAUCUUUGGUCACCACGCUACUAACCAGCCGGGUAUCACUAGCCACUGCUUCGUUAAAGAAUUGAUUAAGCCGCGGCUCAUGGCUUGCAAGAUCAUAAAGUGAGCUGCCAUGGCAAGUAUAAAACGGGGUUUCAUCACUAUUCUGAAACCACUGGCUGAGAUGGUGCCAUGGAUCAGUCAAGGUGGGAUCGAGAAUGGCUAGUAAAAACGGCGUCAUGCUAAAAGGGUUACUCUUUAAAAGGAGUUCAGAAGCAGAAGUAAGCAGAUAACCCUUUUGAUUAUCAUUCUCAUUUCCAGGAAUCUUUGCUUCAAUGAAGAAGCCUGAGUGGAUCAAAAUCUGCAUGAGACGAUAAACGAAAGGGGCUUUUGCAUUCUUGAUGGGAAGAGCAUCAAUCAAUUGAUCAAGGGUCAUCGGCUGGCCAUGUUUGUGAAUAACGUCUGGAAUGCCUAAUUGAAUUGCACAUUUGACGGACAUAGAAUUUAUGAAGUUGAAUAUAUGGUUCCAUAUGUGAGCUUGUGCUUGAAAAAGCUCACCAGUAUGAUCACCAAUAUUUCUAGCCAAAUCCAUUUUUUUGUUUGAAAUUCUAGGAUUUUUUUUCGCUUUUUGGUUGGGAAUUACAAGUAGAACUCGCAUUUUAUAGGCCGGGUAUGGGAUUCACAGGAAUAACGUUGCAAUAGUUUCUUCUAAUAAUAUGACAACAACCGGUUAGAAAAAUGAAUAAACUAUGAAAUCAACUCAGAAACAAGGAUCCAAAGGCAAUAAAUGAACUCAAUUAUUAAGUGAAUCUUUGAGCAGAUAUGUCAAGAGUGAAACUCUAAUAAAAUUAGAACAUAUAUUCUCAAGAUCUAGACUCAAUUAUUAGGCGUCUAGUAUAAGUUAAUUUUAUGAGUAUUGUCAUUAUAUACACCUUCAAUGGAAUAAAACUAUUUAUUUGCCUCAAUUAUUAGAAGAUUUAAUCCAUUAAUUUGAUACUAGAGUCCACCACAAUUCAACAGUCUUUUCCUGACACACGUAAUUUUGGAUAGAUUUCGUCCUAAUUGUAUGAAUGGAGAAAGGAAAGUUUAUACAAGUGUUAGACUAACCAAAAUCCUCGCAAGAAAAAAAUAUAAAGUUGUAAAAAAUUUGGAUUUGGAUAUUUGAAGAAUUUAAACUUUGGCCGAUCAUAUUAUUUUGAACGCCAGAAUGGGCUGCUAAAUUUGUUGUGGUGCAAAUAGUCUGUCAUUUCGACUUACAUUGCACCAUUUUGGCCUACAAAACCUACCACUGCUUGGCAAUACUGUCAAAUGCUUUCCUAGGCUUCCUCUAUUAUAGGAACAUUGGGCUUCAAACAUUUUAAAAAGGAAUCACGCCACAGAAUUAAAAAUAUACACAUUUCUUUGGUGUAAAAAAAGAUCUUUAAUUAUAUUUUGUCACUUUUGGUUUUGUUUCCAACAUUACUUGCAUAUGUCUUGAUAUUGGUGUGUGCAGAUAACCCUUUUCAUUUCAUUAUCAGGAAGCUAAUUUGCUUUUAUGAAGAAAUCUGAAUGGAUAAAAUCCACUUAAGACAAUAGACUAAAAAAAAAAAAGGCUGCUGUUUUCUUGAUUGGGAUAGGAGUGAAUUGGCAGGCCAUGUUCAUAUCUGCCUUCGAAGAUAAAUUACACAUGUGAGGAAAAGAGAGUUUAUGAAGUUGAAUAUAUGGUUUCAUUAGCAUUUUUUUUAAAAAAUUUUUUUAUCACUCUAGAAUGGUUUCGAUUGCAAGCGUAGAAGAAAUUGGAAUUUAUAACGCAGGUCACGAGGCUAAAAUAAAUCACGUAGCAAUAAUUUCUGUGAAUAAACUUAACAAAGUCAACAAACAACGCCCUAUCAAGAUGAGCCUAUCGAGAAAAAUAUAUAUGUAAAAAAAUGAAAAACAAAUAACACAAUGAGAUCAACUAAAAACGCAUUAAAUUUGACAAAUUUCAAUUAACCUUUGUCACAACCAUCUGCAACCUACCUCAACUCCAUUUCAAUGAGUUGCAACUCAUCCAAAUUGGCUAGGCAACUUGUCCAAAGAUUGAUUGUUUCAACAUCUUAUUGGAGAUUAAGAAUUAAAAGUAGCAUAAACAAAGCUUAAUGCAAUAAUGGCCUAAUAUCCAUGACAGGUUGUCGAAGCCUGUGCAAUAAUAAAUACCUGCUCAAACUAAAAGUAAUUUCUGUAGAUAGUGGUGAGUAGGGUCGAAUCCACAGGGACUGGGAGUAAUUGUUUCUUUUCAAAUUCACAGUGACAAUGGGGUGUUUUUAUGCAGAAGGUGACAAUAAAAGAAGUUCAAAUAAAAUCUAAGAAACUACUAAAAAUUAAUUAACAAAUUACUAAAAUCAAAUGAAUGAUAAUUAAGGAUCUAGCCAAGGAAUAACUUCAGCAAUGGUUCACCUAAUUGAUCAUCGAUAAGCAAAGACAAUCCCAAUUAUUUACUAAUAAAUAGGUUAUAACUGCCAAACAAGCGAUGACAGUCAACCCCUCCUUACUGUGUCGAUGAUUAAGGUACGCCCGUUAAUCACUGCUCUAAUUGAGAAAUAAUCCUAGGUACGCUCGUAGAAUUUAAUUUUCCAAUUGCCUUACGUAUUAGAGGAGCCCUAUUCUAACCAAAUAACGCACUACCAGGGUUAUUUUAGAUUAGCCCGCGUAUUCCCCUGACACAAAUCUAAUCGUGCCAGUUGUCACUAUUUUGAGGUAAUUAAACAAUUACGGAUUUAAUACCUCAAUUGACAAUAGAUUAUCAAAUCAAUUAAUUAUCUGGAUCCAAGACAAUCAAUUAAUUAAACAACCAUAAGCACUGUAACCAGAGAAUAUGCAAAUACCAAUAAAUAAAAGAAAAAGAUAAAAUUAAAUCGAUCUCACAGUUUUAGGCGACUCAAAGCAUCCGUUGUCCCUUGACUAGAGAAAAUGGAUUUAGCUCAUUGUUGAUGGGAAAACCCCAUACAAAGCUGACGCAACAGUAGCGGCCAUCGUCAAAUUCAAUUCGGAGAAAUCAAGGAGAAAGACAAGCUACAGGAAGGAAUUCAAUGUUUUCACUUGGUCUUCACAUACGGACUAGAGAAACCACAAGAAGACGAAAUGGAAAAGUCAAACGCUAAAACUAGAAAUUGCUUUCUCCUAACAUGCGUGGAGUAAAGCAAUGAAAAGCUAGGAAGAAAAGUCAAAGUGAAGCUAGAAAAAGAAAGUGCUUGUUCUCUGCAAUCUAAUAGUUCCUAUCCUAAUGGCCUAUUGCUACUGUCUGGCCUUGUGCGGCGGCCCCCUUUCGGAGAGGAAGAAGAAGCUCCCCUUGUGCGGCGCUCUAGCCUCCAGUAAAAUAGAGGCCUUUGCCCUGCUCUCUUCUUUUGAAAUUACCAAAAUGGGCAAAAGUCUUCCUUUGCCAAUAAUGCCCCCGGGAUAAGCUCUGUGCCUUGGACUCUUUUUCUAUCAAAUUGGCACUUGUUAUCAUAUUUUCGUUCUACUCCCUGAAAUAAAUGUGAAAUAUCAAAAAUGAGUAGAAUCUAGAAAUUAAUCCACAUCAGGUCAGAUAAUAGGGGAAAUUAAUAAUAAAAUAAAUGAUAAAAUUGCAACCUAUCAAUUCCCCCCACACCUAAACCAUGCUUGUCCUCAAGCAUGAGUGACAGGUUGUCGAAGCCUGUGCAAUAAUAAAACCUGCUCAAACUAAAAGUAAUUUCUGUAGAUAGCAGUAAGCAGGGUCGAAUCCACAGGGACUGGGAGUAAUUGUCCUUUCCAAAUUCACAGUGACAAGGGGGGUGUUUUAUAUCAGGAGUGACAAUCUAAACAAAUCAACUAAAAGUAAAAUAAUAAAAAUAAAAUAGCCAACUAGAAAUUAAAUAACAAUUUACUAAAAUCUAAUGAGUGAUAAUUAAGGAUCUAGCCAAGAAAUAACUUCAGCAAUGGUUCACCUAAUUGAUCAUCGAUAAGCAGAGGCAAUUCCAAUUAUUUAUCAAUAAAUAGGUUAUAACUGCCAAACAAGCGAAGACAGUCAACCCCUCCUUACUGUGUCGAUGAUUAAGGUACGCCCGUUAAUCACUGCUCUAAUUGAGAAAUAAUCCUAGGUACGCCCGUAGAAUUUAAUUCCCCAAUUGCUUUACGUAUUAGAGGAGCCCUAUUCUAACCAAAUAACGCACUACCAGGGUUAUUUUAGAUUAGCCCGCGUAUUCCCCUGACACAAACCCAAUCAUGCCAGUUAUCACUAUUUUGAGACAAUUAAACAAUUACGGAUUUAACACCUCAAUUGAUAAUAGAUUAUUAAAUUAACUAAUUAUCCGGAUCCAAGACAAUCAAUUAAUUAAACAACCAUAAGCACUGCAAUCAGGGAAUAUGCAAAUACUAAUAAAUAAAGGGAAAGAUAAAAUUAAAUCGAUCUCACAAUUUUUAGGCGAUCCAAAGCAUCCGUUGCUCCUUAACUAGAAAAAGGGAUUUAGCUCAUUAUUGAUGAGGAAAACCCAUGCGAAAUCGAUGAACAAAAUCCACGCAAGAGUGAAGCAAGAAUCGCGGCCAUUGUCAGGGAGCAAUACUACUCAGAGCCACGACGGAAAAGUCAAAGAGCACAAAGCAAAGAAAAAGGAAUAGUCCAAUACUUUUCUUUUGCUCCUGACAUUCACGAAGGAAGAAAACAACUACUAAGAGUCUUUACUACAACCGAAGAAGAAAAGUCAAAAGACUAAAAGCUAACUACUGAAGAUUGGGUUUCCCUCUGUACCAUUCGUUCCUCUCUAAUCAUCUCUAAGGCCUUCCUGUGCGGCGGCCCCUUGCGGAGAGGACCUCCUGUGCGGCGCUCCCCCUCCGGAGACGAAGAAGAAGACCCUUGCCUUCAGCCCUUCGUUGCUCCUUUUAAUGCUUUUGUCUUCGGCAAUUACUAAAAUGGGCAUAAGCUUGCCUUUGCCAACAAUGCCCCUGGGGUGAGCUCUGUGCCUUAGACUCCUUUUUUGUCAAAUUAGCACUUGUUAUCAUAUUUUCGUUCUACUCCCUGGAAUAUAUGCAAAACACUAAAAAUGAGUAGAAUCCAGCAAUUAAUCCACAUCGGGUCAAGUAAUAGGGAAAAUUAAUAAUAAAAUAAAUGAUAAAAUUACACCCUAUCAAUGAGAACAGCAGACAAGUACCAAUAUUUGAUAGUGACUAUUGCUCUAUCUCACAAAUUGCCAAGAUACCAAGAAAAACAAUAAUCAAGCAUCAGUGAAUAAGAUCCAAGAAAUAUCACUUUGGUUAGCUUCUAAACCACAAACUCCUCUAAUUUCAGGUUAACUAAUCUAAGAAAAAGGAAUGACGCAUAACAUUUAUCAGCAAAUGGUCCAACUAUUAACCAAAAUCUCAACAUUAAAUCCACAAAUCGGCAAGCUGACUUUUAUUAUACACUAACACAACAUUCACUUUUUUUUCACAUUUUUUUUCUACUUUUCUCUCUUUUUUUUUUUAUUCUUCUUUUCAAUAGUAACAAAAGACUUAGUCGCUAGCCAUUAGAGCCUUUUGACGCGAACUCCAACAUUGGCCAGAUGAAAGAGCCCGGUUACUCAGCUUCUAUCGCCACGUGACCACGUACUCAUAGCAAUUACUACCUUUUGACGCGAGAAUCAACACUUUUGGUGAAAAUUCCCGGUUACUCGGUAGUAAAUACUAGCGGAGUACAGUCAAGUUUAUGCAUAGCUAAAAAUCACAAAAACUCAAUAUAACUCAAGAACAAAAAGAAAACUUGCAUCAGCUAGCCUCAUUUUCAAACAUGGAGAACUAAAGUUAAUAACCGGACCAAUUCACAUGAAAAUGCCAAUAAUCAUUCCCUAUGCCUAGGAAAGUUAACCAAAAAUUAUAAGAGUAAAACAAUCAUCGAUAUUCACCAAAGAGAUGUUUUUGGAUUCAACCACAUUAACUUGAUACCCUUUUAUUAUUAAAAUUGGCAAAAGUAGAAAUAGAGGCAACAAUCCAACAUCAAAUUUUGGCAUGCACUUACGAGCCAAUCACUAAAAAGAAGAAAAUGAAAAUGAACGAAAGAUACUAGCACAGCUGCCCCCCCACACCUAGACCCUACAUUGUCCUCAAUGGAGGAAUUAAAGCAAUUAAAGUGAAGAGGACAACGAAACUUCCCUCUCGAGUGGCUAAGGGUAUUUGGCAGCUGCGGAGGGAAACCAACGUGGUGAAGUACAUGCCCAAGUUCUGAGACAUCAUAACUCAAUUCAACCAGCAAAUGCACAACUCUGUCCAACCAAAAUCUCAACAAAGUCUCCAAGUGGAUAAUUAAUUUUCAACUCAGAAGCGGCAAUUCUAGCAAUAGCAGUAUAGAAAUUAGACAAUAACCACACAAUCACAAGUUUUCCCUUUUUAAUCAGGCAGCCAACCCAUUAGAAAGAACAAAUAUUAGUCAAAACACCCCAACCAGUACCACUGGUGCACUCCACAGAUACUGAAGCAACUUAAAUGGCAAACCCAAUCAACAGAAUGUACAUGUGAGGCACCCAAGGUCUAUACCAAUUUUUCAACAAAGCAACGAUUGCAAUCAAUAAUCAGUAGUGGUCCUAAUUUACUCAAAUGUAGAAUCAAUGCAGCCCAACAAUUCAACUGAAUGCAAAUUUAACUUGUUACUGAUCCAAAUUUAACUUGAUAUCUGUAGCAACUCACUUGAAGAAGAGAUUAGUACCACUCAACCAGCAGCAGGACCACAAUCAGCACCACCAUUGCCAGACCGUCAAAUAAACCAAACCAGAACAAGAGACAAAUAAAGCACUACCAGUAGAAUAGUAGAUAAUGGGGUUGGCUUGUGGAAGGCAGUAACAACGUUAACGAGGAGUAAAAGCCUACUAUACCAAACAAGAAUAGAAUCCAAACUCCAAAGGUCCACCACUAGCACACAUUCUAGACUACUCACAAGUCAUAUUCACCAAUCAGUCCUCAGCAGGCAAGUCUCCAAAAGUUUUCUUUGUUUUUCUUCUUUUAGUCAAGAACCAAAUACCAAUCAAAGGUCUGGUGGGCCUUCAUGAUAUCUAUUCAAUCUUUAUCACAUAAUUAAGAAUCACCAAUCCAUACAAAUCCGUGCACUUGUAUAAUUUUUCAAAUCAAUAGUUUUGUAGAUCAGAGGGAUUGCAUUUUUUGGGAAUUUUCUUUACUAUAACAACUUUUAUGAUGCGAUGUAUGUUAAAUGAAAAAUGAUUCAAAAAUUAUGUACAACAAAUAUUUGAAAAGAUUUUCUAAGAGAAAAUUGUUCAAAAUGUCCCUCACAUCUCAUCAAAUAAAAUUUUCCACCCUUCGCUUUUGAAAUACUAAAUUUAUGUCCCUCACAAAAUCAAAUCGAUAAAAUUUGGUUGCUAUUUAGAUUUUUUACCACGUUUUACCUUGAAUCCAACACGUGACCAAUGCAUGAUCAUUUUUUAGGGGCAAAAACGUUAUAUCCCAUUUAUAAUUAAAUAAAUGACUGGAUCCAUAUUCAUUUUUGUUCCUAGAAAUAGGAUUUGAUCUAAAUCAUAUUUAUUUUUUUCUCUUAAAAAAACGGGAUUUGACCUAAUCUAUAUUCACUUGUGCCAUUGAAGAAAUGGAACCUGACCUUUUUGUAUAUAAAAAAUAACUGUAUGUGGACCAAAUGGUGAUUUUCAGGCUCAAAAGUUAUCAAAAACUUGAUUUGGUACCAAAAUUUAUUAAUUUGAAUUUAUAAAGGAGGUAAAGUUAACAUUUUAAAAGUGAUAGGCAAAAAAAUUCAUUUAACAAAAUAUGAAGGGUAUUUUAAUGAUUUUUCUAUUUUUCUAGAUAAUGCCAAAAUAAUAGGAAUCCAAAUGGCUUUUAAUCAGUCUUUUUUCCUUGUUCUUGUGCUCCUUGCAUCUAGUUAGUCUAUCAGACUUACUUUGUUUUAUCAUUUACAUAAAAUCAUAACUAACACAAUAGUCUCUCUCUCUCUCUCUCUCUCUCUCUCUCUCUCUCUCUCUCUAAGCAUAUUUCAUAUAGAAUUCAAAUUAUUUCGUAUCAUCUAAUAUGAAAGGAAGGAAAUAGUAUUUUUCGAAGGACACCUUCGUGAAACAUAUGGCCUUCCUAUUUCAUUUAUUGCUGCUUUAUACAGUUUCUUAUUUUUUUUAAAAAAAAAACCAGAAUACUUUUUAUAUUAUGUACUUGAAGUCGAGUUUUGAGGAAAAUGCAGUUUUAGUCCUUAAUGUUUCUAUCUGUACAGUUUUAGUUUUUAAAAUUUUAGCAAAAGUAAAUUUGGUUGUUAGUGUUUAAUAUAUGUAUAGUUUUAGUCCUUAAAGUUUUGAUAAGAGCAAAUCUGGUUCCCAGUGUAUCCAAUAAAAAGCAGAUUUAGAACAUUUGAAGAAUUUUUCUCAAAUACUAACAAAAUGUAGUCAUGUUUAAUCAUGUGUCCAUUAAAUUAAAUUUCAAAAUAAAGAAUCAAAAUAGUGGCAAACUUUAAAUAACAAUAAUAAGGACUAAUUGCUUAUGUCCAAAUUAAUUAACUAAGGUUUCGAAGCAUUCAAUUCAUCGAUCUAGAAUUCAUUUUCAUAUUCUAAUCCUAUUACCUUUAAUCAACAAAUCAUAGUACUUAGUUUUUCAUAUAUAUAUUCUUUAAUAAUUAGUUACUAACGUUCUAUCAUGUAAGUUAUUCUUAUUGUUCAACAUUACUAGUUAUUUUGCUUCUUUUUUAAGAAAUUUAAUUCAACAAACAUGUGAUUGUCAUGACUGAUUCCGUCAAUAUUUGAAAAAAUCCAUCAAUUGUCCUAAAUAAUGCUUCCAAUUUGUAAUACUGGGGACCAGAUUUACUAUUGCUAAAAUUUUACGGACUAAAACUACACAUGUGCUAAACAUUGAGAAUCAGAUUUGUUUUUAACAAAAUUUUAAAAACUAAAACUGCAAAGGAGCUAAACAUCAGGGGCCAAAACUAUAUUUUUUCCAACUCGUAAUACUUUACUACUACUUUUUGAUAAUGGCUUAAUGGGGGUUCAAAAUGGAGUACUCACGUAUGUACUCAAAAAUAUCACUUAAACAUUCUGGGUGUAAAAACUUUUGUGGGUGACUCAGCAUAAGAUCAGCAGUUUUUCUUCUUAUUCUCUUUGUUUAAUUUAUGGUAAGAAAAUAUCGUUUCACGUUAAAAACUCUUAUACCUCAAAAAAAGCUCAUAUAUAUAUGUGUGUGUGUGUGGGCGCGCACGUGGGAAGACAGUGGUAGAGUGGGUCCAAAUGUUAGGCCAGCUACUGCUUUGUUGUGUGCUUGUUGAUAGUGAAAUUACUUAAGAAUUUUAGAAAAUAAUACAGAAAAGAAAAAGACAACUUUGUCUCAAAGUUACUUUAAGAAUGAAACAACCUGUUGCUGACAAUGAAAAAAUCCCGAGGAGAAAUAUUGCAUCCACAAUAAGAGAUUUACACAAUACAAAAUAUAGAUCAUGACAACAUCAGGUUUGACAAGCAGCUUCAACAGCAGGAGGACUUUGCUGGACAAGAAAUCCAGCAAUUGCAGUGGAUCUGUGUUCAGCAGGUGCCAUUACACCGUAAACUAUAUCCUCAAAACAGCGUUCAUGGGUAUGGGUACAUGGAUUUUCUCCAUGGCCAUCCUUAAUCCCAAAUAUUUUAAUAAGCAUUUCGUCCUGAAGGAGUUUUCUAGAGGGCUUGGUGUACUUUUUAAUUGACUCCUCAGCUUCAACUUCAGACAGGAAAUCUGCAAGUUAAAAUAACAUUUUGCACCUGAAAUUAAGUUCUUCAUAUCAGUGUCUAUGAAAUCUAAAACAUUGUAUAUAAGCAUGGUUACUACACAAAAAUAUAUUUAAUAUUCUAGAAUCAUUUUUUUAGGCAAAUGUUUGUUCUUUAUUGAUAUGCAGGAAAGCUUUACAAAGGAGAGUCAGAAGUCUCCAUAUACAUGCACGUCACAAGUGUAACUACACUAUAUUGUUAGGGUAUCAGGCCAAUUAUUUGAAAAGGAAAAGACCAACAAUUUAAUAGAAAACAAUAUCUAGCAUGAACGAUGAACAACACACAAGAAUUAACGUGGUUCGGCUUAAUUACCAAACCUAUAUCCACGGAGAGAAAAACUUGUUCUUACUAUGAGAAAAACACCACAAGAUUACAACUUGAUUCCCAAGCCCCAACUCUUGUAUAACCCUCUCACCCACUAAGAACUCUCUCACUUCUUUCUUGUGUGUCUUUGUAGUAUGCCAACCCACCUAUUUAUAGGGAACAUUACUGCCAAAAAACCAAAUAACAAUUGAAAACUAAUACUAUUUCCUAAACUCAUAUAGAGUAGAAAAUAGUAUCUAGCUAAAUAGGAAUUUACUUGACUACUACUUCAAGUAACUAAAUCCAAUUAGGAAACUAGUUCCCACACCAAAUAGGAAUCUUGACUAAAAGAAAUUAAGCCAAUUUCCUAACAUAUAUAAUUCAUUAAUCAUGUAAAGAAAAUGAAAACCAUGACUAGUACUACUACUACAUGCUAAAGAGUCUAAUCCUGCAAACAGGAUUGGGGCAAACCCCAUUCCAAAACUAGUUGCCAAUUUUCUUUGGUGCGAGGAGCUCUUGGCCAUGAAAUAACAGUCAUUUGUACUACUUUGUUGAUAUCAGCAACUAUUUUGUCAGCUGGUGUAGCGGUAUUCUGAAAUGUUCUCUUAUUUCUUUCUUUCCAUAUAAAGCAUAAGGGGAUAUAUGAUAAAAUAUAAAACUAUAUGAGAUUAGAAUGUCGUACAUAUUAUGUUUAUAUAUUUUGGUCAUUUCAACUAUUUUAAUUUUUAAACAAGAAUAAUUUCGAUAUUUUCAUGGGUUAGUUUGACACUUUAGUUCCAACUAUAAGGGAGUUAUAUAUAUAACUUUCGAAACUAUAGUCGGGUUAUAUGAAAAAUCGCUAAAUCACAUGUGAGUAAAAUGUAUUUUACCCUUCUUUUUAUUACUGUAAUGGAUUUCCAUUUUUUCUUCAAUUUUUUUUCUUGCUUUGUAAUGGAAUAGGCUGAUCCCUGGAGCCAAACCAUCACCAAACACCGGCCAGCAACCACAGCCUAUGACAUUAGAACCCAUACUAGUACCCAAAACAUCACAAAUUUAUCUCAAAUACUACAAAUCGUCUCCAUCAAAAUGAGCAAAAUGUCAAUUGAAAUUCAACAAACUAAGUUUUGUUCAAGUUUGUAUAAAUUGGAAAACCCACCACCAAUUGCUACUCAAAAAUUCCAAUUCACCAUGAAUCCCCAGCAUCCCACCAGAACGACAGAAAAUCAACCAAAAAUCCCGAAACCCUCAACCAUCUCAUAUAGAAUCCAGUCAAUGACCAGCGAAAUCAGAAGGAAAGAGAAAAACAAGAAAACUCAACCAUCUCUAGCUUGGCUCCAGUAUAAUUAACCUAUGUUGGAGUAGAGCCUACAAGUGCAGGGCGGUGAGGAUGGGUCUGAGAAAACUGUCGAGAGAGAGACAGAGACAGAGUUGUGCAGAGAAGUUAGGAAUACCUUUUCUUUGAUAUUAUGGCUUGGUGAAUAAUCAAGACAAAAGUGUCGAAUUUUCUCUGGAGUGGUAAUUGAAGACUUUUUGGUCUUCCAUUACCAUAGAGUCACUACCAUUAAAAUCACUGCUUGCUAGAUCAGGCAAAGUAGGGGUUUUGGCGCGGUACAUUUGGAGUCCAAAAUACUACUGGACCUGCUAUAGGGAUUAUUUGCUAAAGCUGAUGUGGUGUCCCUUCCUAUCCUUUUAAAUUAGCAUAAAAUAAAAUUAAAGAAACAUCAACUAGUAUACGCUGUCCGUGUAUAUAAAAUUUACUCUUUUAGUAUUUUCUCUAACACAAUCUUAAUGUCUUACUUUAAUUUAUCUUUUUUUUUGUUCAUUUUUUAAGUGUCAAAAUUUGAGUCAGUGUACAAAAACCAAAGCUACAGGGAUUAAUAGCUAAAUCAGGUGUGGUUGAUAGGGAUAUAAUUAUGCAUUUUAUUUGUGGUUAUUUGGUCUUAAUUUUGGCAGUAUAGUAUGCAAAGUAUUGGAUUUCUGCUCAUAAUUAGUAUUGGUGUUAAUUACAGGCAAUUAGUGUUGAAAGUGACAAAAGGGAGGCAAAAAUCCAGAAGACUCUUGCUUCUCUGGCGUGCCCACGCCAGACAACACAGAGUUGCGUGAAAAAGCCGGAUCACGGGCCCAACCCCUGGAACAACCAUUCUGAUUGGAAGAUACCUUUUUACCAUGCGUGAGAUCAGGAAACCUUAAAAGCAAGAAGUCGUUUGGCAACAAACAACUAAGAAAGUAAGAAAAAGGAAUCCUUUUGGGAAACACAGGAGAAUUGGAAACCAAUUGGAAUUGGAAAGCAAGUGCUGCGAAGACCUUUAAGUAGCAGAGGAAAUAGAAUUCGAAGAGGACUUUUGGCAACAAUCCAAUGAGGGAAAUAAGGAAACAAUCCUUGUGGGAAACAAAUUCCAAUUCAACAAGCAAAGGGAAGCGGCGGCAACACUAUAAAUAAAAGGGCAGCAAUAGACUAGGGCAUCUUCUGUCUUGGACUUGUCUUUUUGUUUUUCUUUUCUCUCUUUUUCCUCUGGAAUGCAAGUAGCAAAUAGCAGCCGACAUCUUUUACUACUUCCUCAAUCGACAAAAACUCCAUGAAAACUCUGAAUUGCUUCAUGAUUAUGCGGCAAGGCUAGUUCUUUUAUCUAGUUGAGGAAUAAAUCAAGGAUUGGAGCACCAUAACUGUGAGAUCGUUUUAAUUGUUUUAUUUUUAAUUUAUAUGUUCAUGGGUAUUUGAUUAUUCUCUAUUUUUCCCUGAGUUAUUAUUGUUUAGAUUUAUUGGAUAAUUAGGCCUGUUAUUCGAUUGUCUAAAUAAUUGAUAGCCAAUUAGGAUGUUGGCACGUAGCCUUUAAACAUCUUGAUUAGUGGCAAACGAGACAACUUCACCGCCUCGCAAGCGGUCUAAUUUGGAUCGUGGGGAUAAUUAAUCUAGCCUAAAUAAACCCGCAUGUGUGUUUGUCAUCUAGAAUUGGGUCUUUCUAAAUCCUAAUGCUGUAGCUACAUUAAAUCCUGUGAGCGUUUCUAGGGUUGUCUAGUCACAAGAGGGUAGUUUAUGAGCGUCUCUUGACUACCAUAAAAUUAAGGAAAGAUUGGUAGUUGGGCGCGUCGCUUGACCACUAUAACCAGUUUAUUCGUGAGUAUAUGAAUUGUCCCGUGUAUCUGUGAUCAGUUGUGUGCUUCGGUGCCAAGAUUAAUUCCUUGACUAGGUUGUUUAAUUAAUUGUUAUUUGUGUAGUUUGGUUCCUGCUAUCUUAAUCAACUUUAAAUUUCAGUUUUUAUUCCUUUUUAAUUAGUUGGUACUACUGCUAAAAAUCCCCCCCCCCAUUUUCCUGUGUGAUUUGCCUACCUGUUCCCUGUGGAGAUGACCCUAUUCACCACUAUACUCAUUCAGUUUUGGUAGUAGGUCUAAUAUAAAUUUUAUUUUUGGUGGUUUGACACCCACCAAAUUUUGGCGCCGUUGCCGGGGAUCUGGUGUUUUAAGUGACUUAUUGCACAGGCUUUAGUUUUUAUUUUUAUUUUUAUUAGUUUUAUUUAUUUUAUGCCUCGAUCUUCUCGUACAGAAGAAUUAGAAUUUGAUCCAGAGAUUGAGAAGACUGCAAGAAGGUUGACCAAGGAGGCAAAGUUGCGUAAGCAACAAGAUUCAACGUCACCUUCAGAAUCUAAGCAAGAGUUUGUUUCCAGUGAUUCAUCAAGUGAAUCUGAAAAAGAAGAAGUGCAUAUUCCCCGAGUAGCAAUGGCAGCCCCAAGAACUUUGAGGGAGUUGGCAACUCCUAAUGUGAACCAGCAGCCAUUAUGCAUUACAUUUCCUAACACGGAAGAGGCAUUUGAGCUUAAAUCUGGUCUUAUUCACUUACUUCCUACUUUUCUUGGUAUUGCAGGUGAAGACCCACAUAAACACUUGAAGGAAUUUCAUGUGGUGUGCUCCACAAUGAAACCUCAAGGAGUCACUGAGGACCACAUCAAAUUGAGAGCCUUCCCUUUCUCUUUGGCAGAUAAGGCUAAAGAUUGGUUAUUUUACCUGCCAUCUGGAUCCAUCACUACGUGGGAAGAAUUGAAGAGAAGAUUCCUCGAGAAAUUUUUCCCUGCCUCUAGAGCCGCCAAUAUAAGGAAAGAAAUAUGUGGAGUUAGGCAGGCAAAUGGGGAAAUUCUAUAUGAGUACUGGGAGCGCUUUAAACAACUGUGUGCCAGCUGCCCGCAUCAUCAAAUCCCUGAUCAGCUCUUAAUACAAUAUUUCUACGAGGGAUUAUGACCCAUGGAUAGGAGCAUGUUAGAUGCAGCCAGUGGCGGUGCUCUGGUUAACAAGACCACAGACGAAUCCACGUUAUUGAUCUCCACCAUGGCUGGAAAUUCCCAACAAUUUGGAGUGAGAGCUGAUGGAGCAAUAAGAAGGGUCAAUGAAGUGAAUCACUCUGACUUAGAGGGUAAACUAUCUGAGCUUACCUCUCUGGUACGUCAAAUGGCAAGAGGGCAAUUACAAUCUGUGAAGACUUGUGGUAUCUGUGCUGCUCCCAGACACAUGACUGACAUGUGCCCAACUCUCCAGGAGGAUUCACCUGAACAAGCCAACAUAGUGGAAGAUUUUUCUGGACCACCUCCACGAAGGAAUGAUCCUUUUGCACCCACUUACAAUCCAGGGUGGCGAAAUCAUCCUAACUUUAGCUAUGCUUCAAAACCCCCUGGCUUUCAACAACAUUUCCAGCCACGGCCACCAGUGCAACAACCAUCCACUUCCAAUUCAAACAUGUCUCUUGAAGAUAUGGUGAAGUCACUGGCCCAAAGCACGAGUCAAUUACAGCAAGAGACUCAAAGAUCUCAGCAGGAGUCUCACAGAUUUCAACAAGAGACUCGUGCUAGUAUUAGGAAUUUGGAAGUACAGAUGUCUCAAUUGGCAACUUCCAUGAGCAACCUGGAAAAUAGUAAUAGAGGAAAGUUACCAUCUUAAGUAAUUCCUAAUCCCAAGGAGAAUGCCAGUGCAAUGCAAUUACGGAGUGGCAAGGAGGUACAGUCUCCUAGGCGUGCCCAUGCCAAAGAAGAAGAAGUACCCAGGAAGGUGGAAGAGGAAGAUGAGAAACAAUCCUCUGAAGUCUCAAAGAAAGUUGACAUUCCUCCUCCUUUUCCUGGCAGGUUUACAAGAGCCAAAAAGGAAGAAUCUGAGCAAGAGAUUUUGGACACCUUCAGGAAAGUGGAGAUCAAUAUUCCUUUAUUGGAUGCUAUUAGGCAAUUGCCUAAAUAUGCUAAAUUUUUUAAGGGUUUAUGCACUAACCGCAAUAAGUUGAGUCUGGAUGACAAGGUGAAGGUGGGGGAGAAUGUCUCAGCGAUGUUUCAAAGGAAGUUGCCCCAGAAAUGCAAGGAUCCAGGUAUGUUUACUAUACCAUGCAUAAUUGGCAAUCAAAGAAUUGAAAAAAGCAUGCUUGACUUAGGUGCUUCAAUAAAUGUCAUGCCUCUCUCAAUUUUUAAAGUUUUGAAUUUAGGACCCCUCAAAGAAACUAGGGUAAUCAUUCAACUAGCUGAUAGGUCGAAUGUCUACCCUGAGGGCCUAGUUGAAGAUGUUCUAGUAAAGGUCAAUGAAUUCAUUUUUCCUGUGGAUUUUUACAUUGUUGAUAUGAAUGAUGCAUACUCUACUGAUUCAGUAGUGAUUCUUUUGGGUAGACCCUUCAUGAGCACAGCAAGGACUAAAAUAGAUGUACAUGAAGGGACUUUAUCUGUGGAAUUUGAUGGAGAGAAGGUCACUUUUAAUAUUUUUGAUGCAAUGAAGCAUCCUGUGGAUACUGAAUCUGUAAAUUUUGUUGGCAUGACUAACACCAUUGUGCAAGAGAAUUUUGAACAGAAUUUCAUGAGGGACAAGUUGGACUUUGUCUUACAACAAGGCAAGACCAAUUUAGAAGUGGACGACAUGGAGGAGGAGGAAGUCAAAGAAGCUAUCAUGUCCUUACAUUCACUACAUCCGCUUCCAGGCAGGUUUGAAAAUUCUUUUCUACCAUUACCCACUUCUAAUGAAAGGAUUCUACCUUCUGUUCAACAGGCACCUAAUGUGGAAUUGAAGGAACUGCCCCAGCAUUUGAAAUAUGCUUACUUGGGAGAUAACAAGACUUUGCCUGUAAUCAUUGCCAAUGAUUUAACUGCGUUGCAAGAAGAGAGGCUCUUACGGGUCUUACGGGUAUUUAAACCAGCAAUUGGAUGGACGUUAGCAGACAUCAAAGGCAUCAAUCCAUUCAUUUGCAUGCAUCACAUCCUUUGGAGUCGGACGUAAAACCCGUGAGAGAGCAUCAACGCAAGCUCAACCCCGCAAUGAAGGAGGUGGUGAUGAAAGAGAUUCUCAAACUCUUAGAAUUAGGAAUUAUUUUUCCUAUUUCUGACAGCCAGUGGGUAAGUCCAGUCCAUGUUGUUCCCAAGAAGACUGGAAUCACGUUGGUGAAAAAUGAAAAGAAUGAGUUAGUGCCAAUGAGAUUGAAAAAUGGGUGGAGAAUGUGCAUUGACUUUAGGAAGUUAAAUGCCGCAACUAGGAAAGACCACUUUCCACUCCCAUUUAUUGAUGAAAUGCUUGAGAGGUUGGUAGGUAAGUGUUUCUUUUGCUUUUUAGAUGGUUACUCUGGAUAUUAUCAAAUUAUUGUUGCUCAAGAGGACCAACAUAAAACCACUUUUACCUGCCCUUUUGGAACUUUUGCAUAUCGUCGUAUGCCUUUUGGUUUGUGUAAUGCUCCUGGAACAUUUCAAAGAUGCAUGAUGAGUAUUUUUUCUGAUAUGAUUGAUAAUUGCAUUGAAAUUUUCAUGGAUGAUUUUACAGUAUACUGUGAUUCUUUUGAUCAGUGCCUAGACCAUUUAACAAAGGUUUUGAAAAGAUGCAUUGAAACAAACUUGGUUCUUAAUUAUGAAAAAUGUCAUUUCAUGGUUAAGGAAGGCAUAGUUUUGGGCCAUGUUGUUUCAUCAAGGGGUAUUGAGGUAGAUAAGGCUAAAAUUGAUUUGAUCACUAGUCUACCUUACCCUACUAAUGUCAAGGAUAUUCGUAGUUUUCCAGGCCAUGCAGGUUUUUACAGGCGUUUCAUAAAAGAUUUUUCAAAAAUUGCUCAACCAUUGUCUCGCUUGCUUCAAAAGGAGGUGCCAUUCAACUUUGGAGAUGAUUGCAAAUUGUCCUUUGACACACUCAAGGGUAUGUUGACCACGGCACCAAUCAUCCAACCCCCAGACUGGAAGCUAUCCUUUGAGCUCAUGUGUGAUGCCAGUCAGUAUGCCGUAGGAGCUGUGCUUGGACAGCGGAGUGGGAAGUGUAGUCACGUGAUAUACUAUGCGUCAAAAACAUUGACACCAGCUCAAUGCAACUACACCACCACGGAGAAGGAGCUUCUAGCCAUUAUUUUCGCUUUUGAGAAAUUUAGAUCAUAUCUAUUGGGGUCAAAAGUAACGGUUUACUCUGAUCAUGCAGCUUUGAAGUAUCUCUUGUCAAAAAGGGAGUCCAAGCCAAGACUCAUUCGUUGAGUGCUCUUGCUGCAAGAAUUUGACUGGGAGAUCAAGGAUCGGAAAGGGGUGGAUAAUUCAGUAGCUGACCAUUUGAGUAGGUUGAUAAGAGAAGAGGAAGCAGUUCCCAUAUCUGAGGUAUUUCCUGAUGAACAUCUUUUCUAUCUCAAAGGUAAGGAACCUUGGUAUGCAGAUAUUGUGAACUUUUUGAUCAGUCAUAAAUUCCCUAUUGGCAUGAGUAAGAGUAAGAGAGAUAAGAUAGUCCAUGAUUCUCGAUACUAUAUUUGGGACGAGCCAUAUCUGUGGAAAAUAGGCUCUGAUCAAAUUAUUCGUAGAUGUGUACCUGAAAGUGAAACUCCUUCUAUCCUUGCUCAUUGUCAUAAUUAUGCAUGUGGUGGCCAUUUUGGACCUAAGAGAACUGCUAGAAAAAUCCUUGAUUGUGGCUUUUAUUGGGAAACAUUGUUUCGUGAUGCUUAUACAUUUUGUAAAAGCUGUGAAAAAUGUCAAAAAUUUGGAAGUUUGUCUCAUAGGGAUGAAAUGCCUCAAGUGCCUAUGUUAUUUUGUGAAGUGUUUGAUGUUUGGGAUAUGGACUUUAUGGGACCUUUUCCUAGCUCUUUUGGAUUUUUGUAUAUUCUGUUAGCAGUUGACUAUGUAUCGAAAUGGGUAGAAGCAAAGGCUACCCGGACUAAUGAUUCUCAAGUUGUUGUAGGAUUUCUCAAAUCUCACAUUUUUAGUAGGUUCGGGGUGCCGAGAGCCAUCAUCAGUGAUCAAGGUACCCAUUUCUGCAAUCGCACCAUUGCAUCUCUCAUGAGAAAAUAUGGAGUGCACCAUCGUGUGAGUACAACAUAUCAUCCUCAGACCAAUGGGCAAGCUGAAGUCUCCAAUCGAGAGAUCAAGAGCGUAUUGGAGAAAACGGUUAACCCCAACCGUAAGGAUUGGAGCUUGCGAUUGGAUGAUGCUUUGUGGGCAUAUCGAACCGCGUAUAAAAUGCCCAUUGGAAUGUCCCCAUAUAGGUUGGUGUUUGGUAAGAUGUGUCAUUUACCUGUGGCUAUUGAGCAUCGUGCAUUCUGGGCAGUCAAGCAAUGCAAUUUCCAUGCGGAUAGAGAUGGCAAUGAGAGAAAGUUCCAACUCCAGGAGUUGGAGGAAAUUCGUCUUGAAGCAUAUGACAAUGCACGUUUGUACAAAGAGCGUACCAAGCAGUUUCAUGACCGUUUAUUGCGUGCGAAACACUUUUUCCCAGGACAACAGGUACUCUUGUUCAAUUCACGGUUGAAAUUCAUGCCAGGUAAGUUAAAAUCUCGUUGGAUUGGACCAUAUGUGGUAGUCAAUGUUUUUCCCAAUGGUGUGGUUGAAAUCCAGAGUUUAGAGACUAAUAAGAGUUUUACAGUUAAUGGUCAUCGUUUAAAAUCGUUUGUUGAUAUUUCAGACAUUGGCACUUUGGAAGAGGUACACUUGAUAGAUCCUAUCUAUGCCUAAUUGCUCACUGUGGAGUCGUCUAGCCAAAGACGUUAAAGAAAGGCGCUUCUUGGGAGGCAACCCAAGGCCUCCAUUUUUUGUUAUAGUUCUCUUUCGUUUUUCGUUGAUUUUGGGUUGUUUUGUUUCAUUGCAAGUGUUGUUUUUGGUGUUGGGCAGGAGACUUGGAUUUACAAGGCAUGCCCACGCCCUAUAAGUGACUCCAUGAAAAGCGUAGAAAUGCUUGGGCAGAAGACUCUGCCUUAUAAGGCGUGGGCACGCCUUACAGCAACUCUGGUCCACUCUGGGGACACAGGCUUGGAUUGAAGACUUCCGCUUCCAUCUGAAGCAACGCUACACCACACCACCGUCAGAGGCUCCACGCUGCCAGUCCCUGAUACCUCCUCUACCAUGGUGUUUUGCUGUAGUUUUUUUUUCAUUCAGGGAAGUUUCUUUUGCUCCCUUCACUUGACUUCAACUUUUCAUUCUUACAUUAAGGACAAUGUAGACUUUAGGUGUGGGGGGAGUAGUCUAGCUUUUCCUUCUUAUUGCUUUUCCUUCUUCAAAAAAAAAAAAAAAAAAAAAAAAAAAAAACUUUACCAUGCCUUUUGGAUUUUUGUGGUUAGCCUUGAUAAGCAAUGGCUUGAUUUUCAAAUUUAACUAUUGUUAUGGUUUUAGAUGAUAAUAUGUUAAGUAGGAGAUGAUAAAGUUUUAGGAUGUCUCUCUGGUAAAUAUUUGAGAUUUUGUGACUCUAGCAAUUUCUUUUGAUUAACUUUUCUAGGCAUUGUAAAUAUUUGUCUGACAUUUUUGUGUGAACUGGUUCAACUAUUAAUCUUAGUUCUCCAUGUUAAGAAAAUGAAGCAGGCUUGCAAGGUUUUAAUUUUACUUGGGUGUUUAUAUGCGAAUAAUAGUCGGCUAUACUCCGUUGGUUAUCAUUGACUAGUAACCGGGGGUCUUCACCUAAAGUGUCGAUUUUCGCCUCAAAAAGCAACGAUAACUAUGAGUAUGUGGUCUUUAAGCGGUUAAAGUUGAGUAACCGGGCUCCUUCAUUGGAGAGAUGUCGGAGUUCGCGUCAAAAGACUUGAAUGGCUCAAGACUAAGCACUUCUUUCAAGAAAGAAAAAAAAAGCAAAAAAAAAAGAAAAAAAAGAAGGAAAAAGAAACAAAAAAAAAGAAAAAAAUGAGAAAGAAAAAAAAAAGAGUGUGUAUGAGCAUGAAGGUAUGUGAAUAAUUGUAUUACCUGCGGAUCCAUGAGUCUUUAUGUUGAGAUUUUGCUUAAUAGUUGGACCAGUUAUUAAAAAAAAUGUUGGUUGGAUAUUUUCUAUUCUUAGAUUAGUUAGUCUGGAUUUGAAAGAGUCAUUGGUUUCAAAAGCUAGUUGGAGAGUUAUCUCGUAAAAUUUGUCAUCAGUACUUGACAGUUAUCUAAAUUAUACAUUGGCAAUAGUUGCUUUGAUUAAUAGCCAUUGUUUUGAAUUCAACUGCUGCAAAAUGUUUGCUCGCUUGGUUGUGUAUUUAAAGUUUGAAAUGCUUGAGGACAAGCAUUGUCUUGGUGUGGGGGAAUUUGAUAGGGAUAUAAUUAUGCAUUUUAUUUGUGGUUAUUUGGUCUUAAUUUUGGCAGUAUAGUAUGCAAAGUAUUGGAUUUCUGCUCAUAAUUAGUAUUGAUGUUAAUUACAGGCAAUUAGUGUUGAAAGUGACAAAAGGGAGGCAAAAAUCCAGAAGACUCUUGCUUCUCUGGCGUGCCCACGCCGGACAACACAGAGUUGCGUGAAAAAGCCGGAUCGCGGGCCCAAGCCCUGGAACAACCAUUCUGAUUGGAAGAUACCUUUUUACCAUGCGUGAGAUCAGGAAACCUUAAAAGCAAGAAGUCGUUUGGCAACAAACAACUAAGAAAGUAAGAAAAAUGAAUCCUUUUGGGAAACACAGGAGAAUUGGAAACCAAUUGGAAUUGGAAAGCAAGUGCUGCGAAGACCUUUAAGUAGCAGAGGAAAUAGAAUUCGAAGAGAACUUUUGGCAACAAUCCAAUGAGGGAAAUAAGGAAACAAUCCUUGUGGGAAACAAAUUCCAAUUCAACAAGCAAAGGGAAGCGGCGGCAACACUAUAAAUAAAAAGGCAGCAAUAGACUAGGGCAUCUUCUGUCUUGGACUUGUCUUUUUGUUUUUCUUUUCUCUCUUUUUCCUCUGGAACGCAAGUAGCAAAUAGCAGCCGACAUCUUUUACUACUUCCUCAAUCGACAAAAACUCCAUGAAAACUCUGAAUUGCUUUAUGAUUAUACGGCAAGGCUAGUUCUUUUAUCUAGUUGAGGAAUAAAUCAAGGAUUGGAGCACCAUAACUGUGAGAUCGUUUUAAUUGUUUUAUUUUUAAUUUAUAUGUUCAUGGGUAUUUGAUUAUUCUCUAUUUUUCCCUGAGUUAUUAUUGUUUAGAUUUAUUGGAUAAUUAGGCCUGUUAUUCGAUUGUCUAAAUAAUUGAUAGCCAAUUAGGAUGUUGGCGCGUAGCCUUUAAACAUCUUGAUUAGUGGCAAACGAGACAACUUCACUGCCUCGCAAGCGGUCUAAUUUGGAUCGUGGGGAUAAUUAAUCUAGCCUAAAUAAACCCGCAUGUGUGUUUGUCAUCUAGAAUUGGGUCUUUCUAAUUCCUAAUGCUGUGGCUACAUUAAAUCCUGUGAGUGUUUCUGGGGUUGUCUAGUCACAAGAGGGUAGUUUAUGAGCGUCUCUUGACUACCAUAAAAUUAAGGAAAGAUUGGUGGUUGGGCGCGUCGCUUGACCACUAUAACCAGUUUAUUCGUGAGUGUAUGAAUUGUCCCAUGUAUCUGUGAUCAGUUGUGUGCUUCGGUGCCAAGAUUAAUUUCUUGACUAGGUUGUUCAAUUAAUUGUUAUUUGUGUAGUUUGGUUCCUGCUAUCUUAAUCAACUUUAAAUUUCAGUUUUUAUUCCUUUUUAAUUAGUUGGUACUACUGCUAAAAAUCCCCCCCAUUUUCCUGUGUGAUUUGCCUACCUGUUCCCUGUGGAGACGACCCUAUUCACCACUAUACUCAUUCAGUUUUGGUAGUAGGUCUAAUAUAAAUUUUAUUUUUGGUGGUUUGACACCCACCAGUGGUGUCCCCUUCAAGCUUUCUAAAUUAGCAUAUCAUAAAACAAAAAAAGUGUCAAUAGGUUUUUUAAUACUACUUUAAUAUACAUGCACAAAUAUGAAAACAAUCCAGUUUGUCAUCAUCCAAUGUGAUGAAAGCUACUUGAAUUUCUAAACAGAUGGUAUGCGGAACACGGCCCUUGGAGAGUACAAUUAUCUCACUUCACUUAUAGAACGACACAUUUUCUUGUAUGACUUUCCCAUCUAACAAAUAGAGCCGAAUAGAUUGACAAUCUGGUAACCGGAUCUUCAGCUGAUUGCCAUGUUAUAAAAUUAACCACAAUGACCAUUUGCCUGCUUUAAUAAUUUUAGUGUUUUUUAUGAAACUAUUUUUCUUUCAUCAAUGGAUAUUAAAAUUAAGGGUUAAUUAUAUUUACCUCCCUGAGGUAUGGCCAAACUCAAACUAAACCCUGAGACCAAACUACUGAAGAACCCUUCGAAUACACAAAAGCUUAACAAACGUUGACUGCUUGAUAUUAAACGAAAAAGUCAGUGAAUGUCCUAAACUGCUCACAAGCUUAUUCCCAUUUAAGUCUUUAACCCUUCUCUUCCUCAGGGAUUGAAACCAACAGAGUUGCAAAAUUGUUAGUUGCACAAUACUUCGUUGUUCGUGUAGAGUGGAUUUAAAUGGGCACACACUCACUAGCUGCUUAUCAAAAAUACUCCUUCUUCUUCUUCUUCUUCUAUUAAAACACUAUUUCUUCACAAAUUGUCAGCCUUAGAUUUAAUCAAAAGUAGGAAAAAGAAAGAAAAAUAAAAAACACGAAUUGCAAUACCUAUCAAAAUAUAGAUCUUGCAAUUUAACUACCAAAACCAAAUCUUUAGUUCAAAUGAUUGUCCCCUUGACGUGAGAUUUGAAUGAUGAACCCUGUUUAUGAGGUAGUGGAGAAGAGAUUCUGUGCAUUGCUCAUGAGUCGUGGCUAAGAUGGGAUAUGGUUUUGCUUGUGAUUUUUGUGGUAUCAAAUUUUGCUGACUUCUUGUUUCUAUUUUGUCAGCUUUGCUUCUCUUGAAUGUGUACAAAGAAUUGGGUUGCCACGAUUUGGUUUUGUAUACGGCAAUUAUAUGUCUAUUUUUUGUGGGUUUUUAAGGGAGAGGAUAGAAAACGUAGGUUAUGGUGUUAAAAGAUGAAUGAAUUUGCAAUAGUUUGAAAUUGGGAGUGUGUUAGAGAUGAGUGAUAACUUGAAGAUAAGAACAGGAGCCAUUAAGGUUUCGAGGAGUUCGAUGAGAUCUAUGGACAGCAGGAAAUCUUUUUCUUUGUUAAUUUUUUUAUUCUUUCCCGUAUCUAACAACGAGUUUACUUGUUUUUUAUGCAAUGAGUUUCAAGUCAGACUAAUUUUUCUUUGUAUGUUAAGUUUCUGAUUAAUUUUUCUUUUGUAUUUGAACUUCCUUUUUAUUAUUUUCUGCAAUUUCCAUAGUUAUAUUUUCAUUUAUCUAUCAAUUUUUAAAGUUUAGGUAUUGGGAUAAAGAUUUAUUUUGCUCAAUUAUCUUUAUGUUUUCUCCAUUAAACUCUCUCAAUUUUUGUUUUUGCAACUUUUUCUUUUUUUUUGUGAAUUUUAUUUAUUGUUGUCAGUAGAGGGUAAAUUUGUCAUUUUAUUUGUUCUAUUUAUUGGCUCUUGAUAGUAUUAUUGACAAGGAAGGCAAAUGUAAUUUAGUUAAACCUCAAGAUUUGAUUCAUAGUUUGGUCAAACCUUAACGGAGACAAAUGUAAUUAACCCCAAAAUUAACCCACAAGGCCCUUUAGCCCAUUUUAAUAACUUAAUUUAUAUUUGACUAGACUAUUUUACUUCGAUCAAAAGAAAGUUUGAAGAGUCCAGUGAUGCACAUGCCAUUGUUAGCCCUAAAUAAAUAAGGGAUAAUUUUAGAAACCUCCCCUGAGGUUUUCAAUAAUUUCACUCGCCCCUCUUGAAAUUUACAUAAUUACAGAAACCUCCCUUGAUGUAAUAAAAAGACAAUAAUGCCCUUUAUUAAUUGUCAACUCAUUGAAAAACUCUAUUAAAUAUUAAAGCUCUUUCAUCUAUUAUCAAUCAAUAAUUCAAACUAUAGUUUUUCUCAUUUAACUAUCUAUCCUCUUUCUCCUACAUCCAUUUUCCUUUUAAAAUCAUUUAUUUAUUAUUAUCAACCAAAUGUGUACUGUCGCCACUAAUAAAAUCAUUUUAUUCACCAAACCACCAAUAUGUACAUAUCUUGGUAUAUAUUUAUAACUACAUUGGUAUAUAUUUAUAUCUUACCAUGAAAACAAAAUGUUCUUGGUAUAUAUAUUUAUAUCAGCAUUGUGUUUCUAUUGUUGAUUUAUAAUUAUUGAUGUUAUUCCUAUAUAGAGAAUUUGAUUGAUUUUAAACUCUGUGCCAAUGGAGAACAAACUACCAUGUAAGACAUGAAACUAUCAAUAAUUAGCAAUUAACUGUGGCAAGAUGUACACUUCUCAAUUUAGCAUUAUUCCAAGUAGAAGAGGCAAAGCCAUAUGAAUUUGAAAAGGGACAUAUAGAUAGCUGGGGGAGAUGGAAAGCAAGUUUUAUAGUGAAUAUUGGGCUAAUAGAUAAUAUGAUAGCACUUAGCAGAGCUGUGGGGAGUACUCAAAAGGAUAAAAAUGGCUUGGAACUCUGGAGAAAGAAGAGUGAUUCUGGACACGAAUUGCAAGGCAGCUUUGGAACUAAUACAAGGAGCAGGACAGGACUCACCACUAUACAAUCUAACAUGUCAGAUCAGGAAUGUUUUAAGCAGGGGUCGGGAAUCCUGGCAACAACAUGUUUGGAGAAAGAAGUAAGUGUGCAGACUAGCUAGCUAAAAGUAGUGUCAACAAAGAAUCUGGGAUGCAGAUUAUAACAGAACCGCCACAGGAACUUAGUGAAUAGCAUGGUGCAAAUAUUUUAGGGGCUGCGACCCUAUGUUUUGUUUCUGUUUAAGAGGUUUGACCUCUCCCUUGUAAACUUAACAAAAGGAACAUACUAGGCAGAGAAGUAAAUGCGGUCAACACAUUUGCAAGCAAAACAUUUUGGCCAAAGCACCUUUGCCCUUAAAAAAUAGUGAAACAUGUGAAAUUCAGCACAAGUAAGGCUAACAAGUAUAUUCUGGAGAAUCAUGGACUCUCAAAACAUACCAUAAGAAGUUGUCCAUGCUGUUCUAAUAACAUUCCUAGUUCAUGAAUUUUUACGGAGGAAGAUCUUUUUUCACAUCAAAACUAAUUGAUGAGUUUUGGUCCUCUUUCCAAGCUCUUCCAAAGUGAUACUAGUACAAGUCCUUAAGUAGACUUGAGAUGCAGCCUUAGAACAAUAUCACCAGAUUUCUCAGUCACCAGAUGCAACACCUUAGACUUGAGAUGCAACCUUAGAGGUUUGUGUUCUAGAAUAAAUUUAUAAGUUAGCAGAAAAAAAAAGUCUACAGUAUCUCAACUUGCAGGACUACAACCAUAGCUAAUAUACAGCUUUUAAGGCAAAGUACAAAUGCAAUGAUUGGAGCAACUUGUCCAGGUUUCUAAAAAAAUAAAUAAAUGGAAACAAAGGAAAUGAGAGUCGAUUUGUGAGUGUGCACAUUUACACAAAGAUAGAGCACUUCCAACAGGAAAACAUUAGGAAAGAGCUUGAAGUCUUGACAGACAUAUUUCAAUCACCUCAAUUCAAGAAACAUUCAAGGCUGCUUUUGAACUAGACUAAGUGCAUGGAUCUAAACGAGUUGAAUUUUGAAGUGAAAAAAAUGUUGCUUUUGAAAAGCAUUCAAAUCUGUAGAAUUUACUCUUACUACCUUAAUUGUAAUGCAUUUAGCUCUAUAAACAACACCACAAUGAUGAUUUGUAGACGAUUUAAGUAAAACUGAAAAGGGGAUGCUUUGAGCACUACCAGGAAUUGCUGAAAAGGGGACGCUUUGCAGUUUAAUGUGAAAUUAAAACCAAAAAAUAAAAUAAACCAAGCGCUUGAAAAUAGAAUAACCAAGAAUUUGAUAAAAUCUUAAAGAAACAUACAAUCUAAAUUUUUUUAGAAAGUAAAAUCCAACGGUUUCAGAGAAUAAUAUAUCAAACCCAAUAAAGAACAAAAUCUUCAAAAUAAGAACAUGCUGCUAAUGUUCAAUUAAACUAGUAACAAUAAAGUUUAUAAAAAAAGGGGGGAGAAUUUCCCUCAGUCACCGCCGGCUUGGUGCAGGUGUUCUUCUUGCGCUUCUUGGCGCCACCAUCGAGGUGGAGGACAAGGUAGAGGGCUGACUCCUUCCGGAUGUUGUAGUCGACUAGGGUGCGGCUGUCCUCGAGCUGCUUGCCAGUGAAGAUAAGCUACUGCUGGUCCGGGGAUGCCCUCCUUGUCCUGGGCAGAAUUUUUUUUUAAAAAAAAAUUAGGGCAAUAAAAUUUGGGGAGAAAAUGAAACAAUUGAUCAUCUAAGUAGGGUAGAAAAGGUGAUUGCAAAUGAUGGUGAUUGCUAAUUAGGGUAAGAAACUUUGGGGAAACUAGACAAAUGAUAGAGAAGAAGAGAAUUUACGCAAAAAUUGAAUGUUGGGAACACAAAAUCGGGUCAAUAAAAAUUGGGGGAAAUUGAUUACUAAGCAAGAAGAGAGAAACUUGCCAUUUUACAGCACAUGCUCUGAGGAAACAUAUCAAAAUCAGUAGCCCAACAAGGAGGAAUGCUCGAGCAUUAGUGAGAAAGAAAUUGAGAGGGGUCGAAGUGAGAGAGAGACCAAGAGAGACAGUGAGAAGGCCAGCGAGUGAAAAUGUGAGAAUUAGAAGUGUAUCAGACUUAGCCCAAAAGUGGUAGACUUGUACUCUUUCAUUUUGAAAUUUGCUUUUUAAAGAAUGCCUCCACCAAUUUUCAAUUCUCGCUGUUUCUUUUUCAUUUUGAACGAAAAAUUUGAUCCAAUUUUUAGUUUUAUCUUUUUAUUUAGAUUCUCAAAGAAAGGUUAUUUUCUUUGUAUUAAAUUAAACAUUUUAAUUAAGUAUAUUAGAUCGGGAAUCUACUUUCAUAUUAUUUUAAGAAAUAAUUCAUUAUUUUUAAACAUGAAAAAAGAAAAAUCUUAAUUAUGUGUUAAGAACUUUCUAUCAGUUUCUAGAAAAUUUUGUUAGUUUUGUCUAAUAGUACUAUAUUUUUUUAGAUGUUUUAUAUUGAAGAAUCAUGAAUGUAAACUUGCACGAAACUAUAGUAUACGUAUUGAUUUGUAAGAAAAAUAUGUAUUCGUUUUGACUUUUAGCAAAUAAACAUUAAAUUUGAAGGAAUUGCAGUAAUUAGUAGUCCUGAUUUCAUUACUUAACUUAUAUAACACAACUAAUUCUGCUUUUCAUUAAAAUGAAUUUGUACUUAAUGAGUUUCAACAUUUGACCAAUUAGAUGUCAAGGAGCCAUUGACAGUACCCAAAAUUAAGGUAUUUGAAUUUAGAGGCCUUGAGUUCUAAUUGUAAUAGUUUAUAUAGUUGUUCUAACUAAAAACUUUCAUUAAUUUUUUUCAGUUAAAAACUUAUUGAGUAACUAUGACUAGUUUAAUAAAUUAUCAAAUUUUAAAAAAUUUAAAUUAAUAUUUAAGUAACUAUGACUAGUUUAAUAAAUCAUCAAAUUUAAAAAAAAUUAAAUUAAUAUUGAGUCUCACAAUUAAAUAAAGUCAUAGUUAAUAAAUCAUCAAACUUUAAAAAAAUUUAAAUUAAUAUUGAGGCUAACAAUUAAAUAAAUGCAUUAGAGAUGUUCAAAUUAGUGAUGAUACUUAUGUUGUCACUAACUAUACUAUAGUUUUACUGACAAAAAUUGGUCGUCAAUAAACAUAAACAGUGAUAAUAAUGAAAAGUUGUCAAAGAAAGUGGUAGAAUUACUGAUAACUUUUAUCAAGUCGUCACUAUCGCAAAACUCACGCCUUCCAAGUCCCAUGGCGCGAAAUAGUUUUGUGACGACAAUUAAAGGUUGUCACUGAAAACUCAGUUGCUUUGAGUCAAUUGUGACAACCUUCAAAGUCGUGACUAAACAACCUCAUUUUGUGACGACUUUGUGUCGUCACAAAGAAAUGUUGUCACUAAUGACCUUUUUUCUUGUAGUGGCAAUAUUCCUACUAUGAACAAAAAAUAUUAAAAACCGUAGGAAAGUGGUUCCUAGGCUAAUAAGGCACUUACAAAAGAGUUUAGAAAAUAUUUCUAAACUCAAAACAAGAGAGCCUAAAAUAUUUGACUAAAUGGGUUAGAUGACUCAAGAAACUAAUAGCCCAUAUAACUCUCUUGAGUGGUGCACCUAAAACCUUCAAUAGGCUUCUUUAUUUAUAGGAAACCAAAGGAAGAAUUCCUUUGGCUUCUAUUGAUGUGAGACGAAGCAGAAAACGCGUUUGUUGACCAGCGCGUCAUUCAACAAAUCUCCACCUUGAUGAGUCCCCCAACAUCGAGAGAUUAUAAACUUGCUUCACCUUCUCCAAAUAAGCCCCAAUGGGCAUAAAUCACCAACAAUAAAUAUCAAUCAAGUCCAAGCGUUGCUUAAACUUGUAAAUUGAAAGAGAUUUUAUAAACAUAUCGGCUAGAUUGUUCUUAGUAUUGAUUUUCUGAAUAAGGACUUUUCCCUCAGCAAUGAUAUCCCGAAUGAAGUGAUACUUCACAUCAAUGUGUUUCGUCCUCUCAUGAUACAUCUGAUCUUUAGUCAAGUGUAUGGCACUUUGACUAUCAUAGUGAAUAUCAGUAACACCUUGAUAUAGACUUAACUCGCUAAAUAAACUCUUCAACCACAAGGCUUCUUUGAUUGCCUCGAUCAAAGCCAUAUAUUCUGCUUUUGUAGUAGACAAAGCUACGACAGGCUGUAGAGUAGCUUUCCAACUAAUAGCACAACCGCCAAUGCAAAAUACAUAGUCUGAAAGUGAUCUUCUCCUGUCAAGAUCUCCAGCGUAGUCUGAGUCUACAAAAUCAACCAAAGUGUUAUUAUUUCUUCCAAACUCCAAACAUGCAUUUGAAAUACCUCGCAAGUAUUUGAAAAUCCACUUCACAGCCUGCCAAUAUGCUUUAUCGGGGCAAGACAUAUAUCUGCUAACAACACUGACUGCAUGUGAGAUAUCUAGACGAGUACAAACCAUUGCAUGCAUAACACUGCCAACUGCACUGGAAUAAGGAACCCGUGCCAUAUAAUCUUCCUCUUCAUCUGAUUGUGGUGAUUGAGCAGCAGAUAACCGAAAAUGGCUAGCAAGAGGAGUAGAUACUGGUUUAGCAUCUUUCAUGCCAAAACGCUCCAAGACCUUCUCAAGGUAAUUUUUCUGGGUCAAGAACAACUUCCCUACUCCUCGAUCUCGAUUGAUAUCCAUGCCAAGAAUUUUCUUAGCUGCUCCUAAAUCUUUCAUUUCAAAUUCACUAUUUAACUACAGUUUCAAAGUGUGAAUUUCUGACAAAUUCUUGGCAGCAAUGAGCAUAUCAUCAACAUAAAGUAGCAAAUAAAUGAAAAAAUCAUCAUUUAACUUCCGGAAAUAAACACAACUAUCAUACAUGCUCCUUGAAUAAUCAUGACCCAACAUAAAGGAAUCAAACCUUUUAUACCAUUGUUUUGGAGACUGUUCAAUCCAUAUAAGGAUUUCUUCAACAAGCAAACAUGGUUUUUCUUACCUUCAAUCUCAAAACUCUGGGGUUGUUUCAUAUAAAUUUGUUCCUCAAGUUCGCCAUGCAAGAAAGCUGUCUUAACAUCAAGCUGCUCUAAUUCCAAAUCAUACAUGGCAACUAAAGCAAGCAAAACACGAAUAGAGCUAUGUUUAACAACAGGUGAAAAAACUUCAUUAAAAUCAACACCUUGUACCUGACUAUAGUCUUUUGCAACUAAUCGUGCUUUAUACCUUGUAUCUUCAACCCCUGGAAUACCUUUCUUUUUCUUGAAAAUCCAUUUGCAUCCAACAAUUUUCUUCGCUGACGGCGGCUUUACAAGAACCCAAGUUUCAUUCUGAUGAAGAGAUUCAAUUUCUUCAUUCAUCGCAAUCAACCACUUUGCAGAAUCAUCACAAGAAACUGCUUCUGAAUAGGUGAAAGGCUCACCAAUUGCAUCAGUUUCUUCUGCAAUAGACAAAGCAUACGCAACUAAAUUUGCAUAUCUUUGUAGUGGUCGAAUGUCUCUCCUUGCUCUAUCUCUGGUUAUGAAAUACUCUUCUUCUUCUGAACUAUCUUCAAUAGUAGAUUCAGGUACAUCUACUGGCAUUUGUUAAAUAGAAGAUUUGGUCUAAGAAGGACCAGAACUGCCAAUAUCAAGCUCCACCUGCUUCUGUGUACUAUCAGUAGUACAAGGACUAGAAGACUCCUUCUUAGAAAAAAAUAUAGAUAAUUCAUCAAAAGUAACAUCUCUACUGAUUACAAAUUUUGGAGAUUUGGGAUCAGGAUACCAUAAUCUGUAUCCUUUCACCCCAGAAGUAUACCCAAGAAAAAUGCACUUUUUAGCUCUAGAUUCCAAUUUUUCAUCAUUCAUGUGUAUGUAUGCUGGACACCCAAAAACUUUUAAAUUGGAGUAAUCAGCAGGAGUACCUGACCAAACUUCCUCAGAAGUUUUGAAACCAAGAGAUGCAGAAGGAGAACGGUUGACAAUAUAACAGGCCAUAUUGAUCGCCUCUGUCCAAAAGUCAUUUGUCAACCGUGCAUUGGAGAUCAUAUAUCUUGCUCUCUCCAAAAGCGAUCUGUUCAUACGUUCAGCCACACUAUUUUGUUGAGGCGUCAUCCUGAUGGUGUGAUGCCGAACAGUUCCUUCAUUUUUGCAAAAUCUAUCAAAUUCACCUCCACAAAAUUUCAUGCCAUUAUUUGUUCUCAACCGCUUAAUAUGUUUUUCUGUUUGCUUCUCAAUCAAAACUUUCCAUUGCUUGAAAGUUAGGAAAACAUCAUUUUUAUAUUUAAGAAAAUAGACCCAAACUUUCCUUGAAUAAUCAUCAAUGAAAGUCAACAUGUACCUGACACCACCUUUAGAAGGAGCACGAGAAGAACCCCAUAGAUCUGAAUGAAUGUAAUCAAGAGUACCUUUUGUCUUGUGAAUUACUGGUGAACUGAAGCUGACUCUUUUCUACUUCCCAAAAAUACAAUGUUUACAGAAUUCCAAUGGCCCGGUACUUUGUCCACAAUGAAGUCCUCUUUUGCUCAGUAUGCCCAAGCCUUUUUUGCUCAUGUGCCCCAAACGCAUAUGCCAGAAUUUGGUGAUGACUGUAUCUAACAAAAAUAAUGUUGAAACAGCAGCAGCACCUGUAACAGUAGAUCCCUGCAAAAUAUACAAAGUACCAGAUCUGUGUGCCUUCAUAACAACAAUAGCACCUCGAGUGAUUUUGAGAACUCCUUCUCCACCUGGAUACCUGCACCGAAUAGACUCAAGAGUGCCCACAGAGAUGAGAUUUUUCUUCAAAUCUGGAACAUGUCUAACAUCUGUGAGCGUCCUCACAAUACCAUCGUACAUUUUAAUCCGGAUUGUGCCUUUACCAACAACUUUACAAACGGCGUUGUUACCCGUUAAGACAACUCCACAUUCAGUUGAUUCAUAUGUUAAAAACCAGUCCCUAUUGGGACACAUAUGAUAUGAAUAACCCGAAUCUAAAAUCCACUCAUUGUUAGACCUAAAAAUAUUUUUCGUUGUAUAGAAAAUGGUUCCAUCAUUCUCAUCAGCUGCUAUACUAGUUUCAGCGGAUUCAGUAUUUUUCUCAACAAAUCUCCCUUUUUGCUUUUCUUUAUUUUUCAGUUUAAAACAAUCAGAGAUAACAUGACCCUUUUUUUUACAAUAGUUGCACACCACAUUUUUAUGUCUGGACUUGGAUCUACUUUUAUUUUCUGUAUUUCUCUUUUCAGAUCUACCCCGAACAAACAAGCCAUCGGCUUGACUUCCACUAGUUUCCCCAGUAAUAUCCCUAUCUAUCUGCUUUUUAGAUUUUAAUACAGAUUUAAUUUUUCGAUACGAAAUUGUUUCCUUUCCAUAAAUCAUAGUAUCACGGAAAUGCUUAAAGGACUGGGGAAGGGAACACAAAAGUAAUAGGGUUUGAUCUUCAUCAUCAAUUUUCGAAUAUAUAUUCUCCAAAUCCAUAAUAAUGGAAUCAAAUUUAUCAAGAUGGGAGAGUAUAGAUUUACUUUCAGACAUUCGAAACAUAUACAGGCUCUGCUUCAAAUAUAGCCGAUUCUCGACUGUCUUCUUCAUAUACAAGGCUUUCAAUUUAUCCCACAUAGCCUUGGCCGAAGUCUCCAUUGCUACCUCACGCAAUACCUCAUCGGAGAGAUUUAAGAUUAUGCUGGAUCUGAUCUUCUUAUCCAUAUCGGCGAAAUCUGCAUCCUUUACAUCUUCUGGCUUUUUCUCAAUUCCUUGAAUUGCCAAAUCAACUUCGUCUUGAACAAGAAUGGCCUCCAUCUUGAGCUGCCACAUGCCGAAGUUAACAUUCCUGUCGAAUUUCUCGACAACCAUCUUUGUUAUCGUUAUUGUUGCCACAAAAUCUAUAACUUGAAACUUGUCUCAAAAAAAACUGGUCAAACAGAUAUGCAAGUCUCGUGAAUGGGCCCAUAGGAUAAGCGGGCCCCACGAGAUAAGCAGGCCCCAAGGGAUGAACCCACAAGGUGAGUGGACCCCAUGAGAUGAACGGGCCCCACAAGGUAAGCGGGCCCUACAAAUAAACGGGCCCCACAAGAUGAGUGGGCCCCAUAUGAUGAACCGGACCCACCAGAUGAACGGGCUUCACCAGAUGAACGGGUUUCACCAGAUGAACCUGUCUUGCAAAAUAUAACAAUCAACUCUGAUACCAGUUUGUUAGGACCGGUCCAGGAACAAACAAACCAGAGUUAGUACAAAUUAGGCGAUAAAACCGACCAUAUAAAAGGGUUGCACCAACCUAAUAAAAGCAAAUAAUAAAGCAAAUAAAAGACACAAAAGAUUUACGUGGUACGAUCAAAUUGACCUACGUCCACGGGCGAGGGAGGAGCAAUAUUUCUACUAUGAAGAAAAAAUAUUAAAAGCCGUAGGAAAGUGGUUCCUAUACUAAUAAGGCACUUACAAAAGAGUUUAGAAAAUAUUUCUAAACUCAAAACAAGAGAGUCUAAAAUAUUUGACUAAAUAGAUUAGAUGACUCAAAAAUCUAAUAGCCCAUAUAACUCUCUUGAGUGGUGCACCUAAAACCUUCAAUAGGUUUCCUUAUUUAUAGGAAACCUCCUUUGGCUUCUAUUGAUGUGGGACGAAGCAGAAAACGCGUUUGUUGACCAGCGCGUCAUUCAACAUACACGAAUAUUAAUUAGAUAUAAUGUCAUUGUUUCAAAAUUGAAUAAGUAAUUUACAUUGAGUUACAUUUUGUUUAGAAAGUGUUGUACAACUUAGGCAAGUUAAGAACUGAAAAUCUUUUUCAGUUUUUUGUCCCUCAUGUUUAUCCGUUCUUUCUUCAACUUACAUUCAGCUGUAAUCGCUGAAUUUAAAGUGGAAGCGAUGCAUGUACUUCAACAAUGUCGGAAACAGUUACUGUCCUUAGCUACCUCAACUCCACACCAUUUAUACAUAAUGUGCUUGCUGUAUAUCCCAGGCUGGGAUUUGGACACAUUCCAGUGUUGGAUUGUGGUGGGGUUUAAUACCAAAUCAAUGGAUUAAACCCAUUAUAUAAAGGAGGCAAACGAACAAUUUUAUUAUGCUCAAAAUAUAUAUAACAACAACACACAAAAUAAAUUUAUAUUGGACACUAAUUAUUGAACCUCACUCUCGAGAAUAUUGCUCUAAUUUAUCAGAGGCUCACUCUUGAGAUAUCUGCUCAAACACUCACUCCACAAUUGAACUCGUUCAUUUCCUAUCUUUCACUUGAGCUUUGGUGCCCUUCAACUGAGGAAAUGGCAUUAUUUAUACUAGUAAGGAUCCUACAAGCGGCUGUAAUUUUUCUCUUCUCAUUCAAUGCCCAAUUGCCAGAAAAUCUGGUGAACUUUGCAAGUAAAUCUGGUUCAAGAUACAAGCACGAACCAAAUUGAUCAGCCGCCCACGUUCAGCUUCAAGAUGGACUUUGGCAAUUUGUCUAUUGCCAAUAAAUGAGUAAAACAAACACUCCAAAGCCAUAAAUUUAUUCUGAACACCCUAACUAAAGGUUCAUCACUUUUUAGCACAAACAACAUUUUCAAAAGACAUAUUAAUUAAUUAAUAAUAAACCUCAAUGAUAGAUCUCAAGCCCAAUACUGCAGUUAUCUUAUAGUCACAGAAGCCUGCCUCAGAGAAAAGUUUCGCCCAAUCUUUCUCAUUUCUUUGCCUUCCUUUGACUAGAACCAUCGCCCCCAUAUCAUAGAACAGUUGGGUCUCAAUCGCCUCAUGAUCAUCAUCCCCUUUCUGCUGGCUUUUGCAGAACGUGUCAACAAUUAUCACUUUGCCUCCUUUCUCCUUGCUAGGAAUUGCUUCUUUACAUUUUUUUAGUAUUUGUACACACUCAUCAUCGCUCCAAUCAAUCAAUAUCCACUGUUCGAUUGCAAAUUGUAUCACAAUGAAAGAAAGUUUUUGUUAGAAACAUUACACCCCAUCUAAAGAUUUUUGCGUCAAAAAGAAAAAACAAAACUAUUCUCCUAUAGUACCAAACACAUGCCAUCAAUUUGACGUUUAAAACUUUGUUCUUUUUCUGUCCCUCUUCAUGAUGCAGUUCUUAGAUCAAGCAUAGCCUCAAUUUCUUCUGCUCAAUCUUACUUUUGAAGUUGACACUUCCCAUAAUUGGUGAAUUGUAAUCCUAUGAUCUCAGGCAGUUAGGAUGAAAAUCUAAAUAAAACUUCUAUAAAAGAAAAUUGUCAACUAGAAAACGUGCAACAUCGAUUUCAUACCUUCAUUAAAACAGCAUCUGCAGGAGGAAUGGCUUCAAACAUGUUACCUCCAACAUAGGCCAAGUUCUUACUACUCUCCAAGCCAUCAACAACAUGAGGAAGAUCAAGCACAGUGCAUUUCAGGUGAGGGAAAGCAUCAGCAAUUGCCUUAGCAAAGGUUCCAGUUCCACCUCCAAUAUCUACCAAUGAAUUCAAACCCUCAAAAACGUGCUUACAAUCUUUGGUCACCACGCUACUAACCAUCCGGGCAUCACUAGCCAUUGCUUCGUUAAAGAAUUGAUUAAGCUGAGACUCAUGGCUCGCAAAAUCAUAAAGUGACCUCCCAUGGCAAGUAUAAAAUGGGCUUUCAUCGCUGCUCUGAAACCACUGGCUGAGAUGGUGCCAUGGAUCAGUCAAGGUGGGAUCGAGCAUGGCCAGUAAAAAUGGCGUCACGCUAAAGGGGUUGCUCUUUAAAAGAAGUUCAGAAGCAGAAGUGAGCAGAUAACCCUUUUGAUUAUCAUUCUCAUUUCCAGGAAUCUUUGCUUCAAUGAAGAAGCCUGAGUGGAUCAAAAUCUGCAUGAGACGAUAAACGAAUGGGGCUUUUUCAUUCUUGAUGGGAAGAGCAUCGAUCAAUUGAUCGAGGGUCAUCGGCUGGCC
rnacentral:lncRNA from 1 species